AUCACCAAACUGGUGUCAGGCAUACUGUACUUUGGCUACAUGCUUCUGGCCUCGUUUGCAUUCUGUGUGCUCACCGGUACAAUUGGGUUCUGCGCCUGCUUCUGGUUCACGAGAUUGAUCUACUCAUCCGUGAAGAUUGACUAGGCUGGAUGACAUGAGACUGCAGAUAGUUUGCUGUACGGUUAUGGUGAAGCGGCCUCCAUUUUCCACCCUGCGUUUUCGUGAAUUCAGGAACUCUGUAUUUUAGGUGUUAUUAACAGCAUAAACCAUUUAUGUCCACUGUGGUUCAGAUCUGAGAUGAUACAUCUGUCGCUAUGGAGUUGUGUAAGGAUAGAACACUACUGUCAGCUUCAUAUGGGGCAAUUUUUCCUUGUAUUGUAAUGAACUGCUGUAUAAAUUCAAUUCAUAGCUACGCGCUCAUAAUUGUCUGUUAUCUCUUUCUACCUCUGCAUGAUGAUGGUGAUACUGUUCUAAUUAUGGUGAUACUGUUCUACUUCUUCACAAAGCUGCAGAUCACAAAACUGGUGUCAGGCAAACUGUACUUUGGCUACAUGCUUCUCGCCUCGUUUGCAUUCUGUGUGCUCACCGGUGCAAUCGGCUUCUGCGCCUGCUUCUGGUUCACGAGAUUGAUCUACUCAUCUGUGAAGAUCGACUAGGCUUGCUGACAUGAGACUGCAGAGUUUGCUGUACGGUUAUGGUGAAGCAGCCUCCAUUUUCCACCUUGCAUUCCUGAGUUUUCAGGAAAGCUGUAUUGUAGGUGUUAAUGGCGUGCACAAUUUAUGUCCACUAUGAUCUAGAGCUGAAGAUGAUAUACAUCGUCACUACGGAGCAAUUUUUCCUUGUAUUGUUACGAACUACUGUAUAAAUUUAAUUCAUAGCUACUCGUUCAUAAUUGUCUGUCAUCUAUCUCUACCUCUGCAUGAAUCGAUUGUGUGGUCCACUGAACACAUGGUCCUGGUUGCCACAAGCCAUAAAAUUGUUCUGAAAUUACAAUAAGAACAUAGCUCGGUUUAGAAGAAUGUGUUCCGUUUGGUCAUCUUCUCCUGAAAGUUAGAGAUCCUUAGUGAUGCUGUUUAAGAAGCAGAGGCAUGUAUGUUACAUAGCCAGCUGAUGUAGCGAUCCUGAUAAUAGAGGUAGUGUAUGCUAAUAGUUUUGUCUUUCCAAACAAAGUCAGGCAGUGAGAGUUCAACUUGAGCAAACGGCGGACCGCGAUGCUGAAAACGUUCAGAACUUUUGGUUACUACAUAUAUUCAGAGAUGGUUUGUUGAUCUCUGCAGUCUGAAUGCUACAUAGACUUCAUACUAGUAUCCAUUCAGAAUCAAGUCAUGAAAUUGUGGUAUCACCAAGGCCUUGUUCGGGUAGUCGUCAGCAGAAGAACAAAAUUACUAGGACAUCUCGCAAACAAAUUGGUGGCCGCCCCGUGCUUGAUUUGAUGUCCACCACGCCCGCCCGCGCUCCAGCUUGGCGAGGCUGCCCGACGAGGAGGGCGGCUGGCGAAGCUCCCGCGCUCCCGUGCUCCCCGUCAGUGCGGGAGCUCGUGCUCCCACCGCGCAGCUCGCUGGCCAGUGCGGCGCGCCGCCGCAGCACCGAGGCGGAAGCCUCUGCCGCACAGGCCCGCGACAUCCCCGUCCUCCGGUAACGACCUGGAGCCCCGUGCCCUGCGCGACAGGACCCGGAACUUGUACCAGCGCGACAGGAGCCGUCGUGCGUGGCGAACCGGUCGACCAUUCCGCGGAGGACGGCGCGCGGGCAGGAUACGCAGCGCGAGGCACCGGGCGCCGUCGUCGGCCGCGGCGGCGACGUAGCCGCGCCAGCACGCGUGGCAGUAGCGGUGCGGCGCCCACACUUCCGCCACCGCCUUUGCGAAGUUCUCGAGGCACGCCGGCGUCGUGCUUGUCAGCAUCCAGAGCUCCUCGUGGUUAUCCUCCAGUUCCAUCCAAUCCGCCGCCGCCGCUCCAGCACGGCAUCGGCCUCGCCGCGCCAGUACUCGAACAGCCUCCCGGAGGCCCCGCCCGUGCGCGCAGGCGUUGCCCAGCACGCGGCGGCCCGCCGCCACCUGCUCCUACGCCUCCGCUGUUGGGUUAUUUGGGUCUAAUGGUGCAAAGGCCCGUUACGUAAAUUCAAACAAUUUCAAUAAAAUUUCAAAGAUCCAUUAAUGCAAAGGUGUAUGGCAACAAGUUAAUCCCACCUUACCAGUGGAGUUGGAGGAAAUCCAACUUAAAUAGUUGGAUGCUCUCCAUGCUCGUGCAAAUGUGGGUGAGAGGAAGAAGGAAGAACACGCGCCCUCACUUCGCCGGGCCGGGCCCGGCACGGGCUUCGAGCGAAGGGCGCGCGCACGCGACGUGCGUGUGAAUGGUCCGCCAAAAUUCAGACCAAUCCUUGCGGAAAUGCGGUUUACUUUUGCAGAUUUGAUACGCAUGGGUGCCGGCUAGAAUAGAAUAUAACAGACGAUGCACAACACGCCUCGACCUGCCUGCUGCGCCGCCGCGUACGCUACUUCAUCCCGUUCGUCGGCGUGCACCGGCGAUCGGGAGAGCAGGUCUCCGAAAUCUCGUCCUCAGCGAUCCUGCACCGGGAGAGGGCGAAUAAGGUUUUUGGGAAGCGCUCUGCGCGACUGCUCGAACGUUUCCACAUCACCGUCCUCGUCGCCACGGCCGUCUUCCUCCUCGUCAGUGGGGCGCGACUCGGCGUCGUCAAGCGCGCGGAGGUGCUGAUCGUCGCUGUCGUCUUCUUUACCCCGUUAUUCCAGUCAGCCUAGAGACGUACGGUUUUCUAUCCCUAACUAUAUUUUUCAUACCUAGUAUGAUCUGGUUAGGGUUGAUCUUGCUGCUGCAAUAUUUUAUCUUAAAUCACUUGAUCAGAAUGUUUACAUAUGCUCGUUUUCUGUACGCAAUUUUCGUCAUGGUUAUGAUUUAUCUUCGGAUUAAUUUAAAACUAAAACUCUUUUUUCUAUCAAUCCAAAAACCUUAUUAUAGUAAUUUCAGUUUCAUGGCUGGAUUUGUUGAUGCUCUGGGGUCCGAGAAGUUCUCUGACGAGCACUUUAAGAGAUGGCAAACGAGAGUGAUUCUGUGGCUCUCUGCCAUGAACGUGUUGUGGGUGUCCAAGGGCAAACUUGAGGGGCCUGUUACCCCUGAGCAGGAGAAGACCUUUACCGAGGCCAACACACUUUUUGUGGACGCUGUGAUCGGUACACUUAUAGAUCGUCUACAGGAUGUGUACCUUCAUCACGUAGACGCUAAAAAGUUGUGGGACGCCCUGGAGGUCGACUAUAGCGGCAUAGAUGCAGGUGCUGAGCUGUACAUCAUGGAGCAGUACCAUGACUAUAAGAUGAUCGAUGGAAAAUCUGUAGUCGAGCAGGCUCAUGAGAUACAGUGCAUGACCAAGGAGCUUGAGCACCUCAAGAUCAAUCUACCCGACAAGUUUGUGGUUGGUGGCAUCAUUGCCAAGUUGCCUCCUUCGUGAAGGGAUUUCACCACAACUCUCAAACACAAGAGGAUAGAGAUAUCAGUGCCUGAUCUGAUAGCAUCCCUUGAUGUUGAGGAAAAAGUUCGGGCCAAGGAUGGGCGAUCUAAGGCUGCUGAGGGCCAAACUAGUGCCAACAUGAUCCAGAAGUCUCACGGCAAAGGUAAGGGCAAGGGAAAAAAAGACUAAGCCGCAGCCUACCACUACUUUCAAGAAGAAGUUCAAGAAAGGUCAAGGCUGUUUUGUGUGUGGAUCUACCGAUCAUUAGGCAAAGAAGUGCCCACACCGCAAACGAAGGAAGUCUUCACCUGAGCAGAAGACUGCGAACACGGUCACCAUGGCUGGAGUGGAAACCAGUGGGUAUAAUUCUUUACCUUUGGUCUUUUCAGUAUUUCAAUAUACUAGUUGGUGGCUCGAUACUGGUGCAAAUAUUCAUAUGUGUUCUGAUACUACCUUAUUUUCUUCUUACCAGACCGCUCGGGAUUCUACAGUGAUGAUGGGCAAUGGGUCGCAUGCUACUGUCCGUGGUGUUGGCAUGGUCGAUCUGAAGCUUACUUCGGAAAGAUCGUGCAGCUGAAGAACGUGCAGCAUGUCCCUACUAUCGGCAAGAAUCUAGUUAGUGGCUCCCUUUUAUGUAGGGAUUGUUUUAAAGUAGUGAUUGUGUCCAAUAAAUUUGUCAUGUCUAAGUGUGGACAAUUUAUCGGUAAAGGCUAUGAGUGCGGAGGCUUGUUCCGUUUUUCAGUUUCAGAUUACUGUAAUAAGUCCGUGAACUUAAUUUAUGAUGGUAUAAAUGAAAGCGAUGCAUUUGUUUGGCACUCGUGUUUAUGUCAUCUAGAUUUUGGCUCUAUGUAUCGACUUUCCACCAUGAGUUUAAUUUCGAAUUUUUCCAUAGUCAAAGGUUCUAAGUUCCAUAGUUGUGUGGAAUCUAAGCAACCUCAAAAACCUCACAAGGUGGCAGAGGAGAGAUAUUUGGCACCUCUAAAACUAGUCCAUUCAGAUAUCUGUGAGAUGAAUGGCGUGUUAACAGAAGGUGGAAAAAGAUAUUUCAUGACCUUGAUUGACGAUGCAACUAGAUUUUGCUAUGUGUACUUGUUGAAAACGAAAGAUGAGGCUCUUAACUGCUUUAAAAUCUAUAAGGCUGAAGUAGAAACCCAACUUAAGAAAAAGAUCAAACGACUUAGAUCCGAUCGAGGAGGUGAAUAUUUCUCUAACAAUUUUGACUUAUUCUGUGAGGAACACGGUAUUAUUCAUGAGAGGGUGCCUCCCUAUUCACCCCAAUCAAACGGGGUUGCCGAAAAAAAGAAUUGCACGUUGUCUGACUUGGUUAACGCCAUGUUAGACACCGCUGGAUUAUCUAAGGCAUGGUGGGGGGAGGCAGUAUUGAUGAAGCGUCCCCCCAUCAGGGAAGACUUAAAAGUGUUGCUUUAUCAGUCCCAGGAGGCUGAUAACACUUUUAUUACAUCUGAUGGUACAUCACCGUACAAUUCUGCGCGGUAAUGGGCAGUGAAGCGCCACUAUCGCGAGAAUUACAACUAAAACCCACACCACUACACUAGCUACGAAAAGGGGAUCAUCAGAGUCUUGCACCAUGCGGAGUUUCAGCGGUGGCCUUAACCACAGGCAAGACUGGGUGCAGGACGAAACCCUACUCGACGUCUUCGGGGAUGUAGUCUGGAUCUUCCACUGUAAAAGUAAGAAUGAGGUGAGUACAAACGUACUCAGCAAGCCCAAUCACACCUGCGGAGGGGGUAUAACAGAAUUAAAUGCACGGGAUACUCCAAGGAUAAGGUUAAGGUUCAUUUGCGGAAAACUCGGUUGUAUGCAAAGGUUCGGUUAAAACAUUUUCAAAACAAGUUUUCUAGUACCAAGGAGCACGUGUUAUUGAUCCAUACAGGAUCCAAGUUUUAAGCUGCUACCGGACUCCCCAUCCGCCGUAGCACACGGCACAACUGCCGGACACUUUCCAAACAUCUCACACCAAUCCAACCAUCCCCAGAGAGAAACACUAGUUAUGUGACCACACCAUAACUUGCCCAAUACCGUGGGCACGGCUAUUCGAAUAGAUUUUAACUCUGCAGAGGUGUGCAACUUUACCCACAGGUGGGGUACCACAGCACGAUCACCUUAGUGUCGGUGCAGAUCCCAGCAAAGCCAUUACCCACCUUAGCUAGACCUGACUAGCCACCACGGGAUCCAUCAAGGGGUCAUUCGACCUACCUCCGAGGUUUAACCGGGGCAUAAGUCACACAGAGCUUAUCCCUUCUCCUUGAUCACCCGUUGCUCUCAGCUCUCCUGAUGGCUAUCGGACUAACUAGUGGGAUUUAUGCUAAGCCGUUGCCCAUACAACGGUCAAGUGGUUUGCACGACAGGAAGCUAGGUGAGAUGACACAUCAACUCGGUCCUUAGGGGUGACAAGAUGGAUAUCUCCCUUCCUCGCUCAACCACAUAGGUACGAGCACACCAACGGCAAUUCACACAGAAAUGCCAUCCAUCUCGUCUGACUCAUCUUUCAAAACCACAUUUUAUCCCUUCCCACACACACAUUUUCUUUAUAAAACCAGGUGGUCAAGGUAUGGUUAUCACAAACAAGGGUGGCUAUCCUAUUUUCAACAAGCAAAACAAUGCAAUUUUAUAAAACAGGCCAUUGGGUUAUGUUUAUAAAAAUUAGGACAGAAACAUCCAUCAAAGGGUGGAAUUGAACUUGCCAUCGUCAAGUCCUUGCGGGAGGUCCUGAUCAAAGCACUGUCCCUCGGGUUCGGGGUCGCAGAACUGGUCCUCGUUCGCUUGAUCACACUCGGGAACUUCUUCGUUCACUCCGUGUCCUACGACGCAAACAAACAGGCAUACAAUCAAGCGAAAGAACUAAAAGCUUUUAUCGUUGAGCUUGAAUCGAAAAUAAUUUAGUUACGGAGGUAGGGGUAAUAUUUUUGGGUGGUUUCUUAAUGGCAUGGCUAGAACUAUACUAGAAAGGGCGUGGUAAAGUUUCGGGUCGAUCGGAGAUCGUUUGGCGCAUAAAAUGACAAGUUAAAGAUGGUUUCGGGGGUUAAACGAGGGUCCAGAGACUUGUUCGUAAUUAUCUAAAGAGGGUAGGGGCUUAUUUGCGAACCCUAGAAAUAUUCAUGGUAUGCUAAAGGGUGUCGAGUAUGAUAGGCUUGGUUUGAAAUGUUAAAAAGAGCAGGGUCUCUUUAGCAAAGAGGAGUAACUAAGGGAGGGGGGUUCUUUUUGGGGAAUACAGGAAAAAGGGGGGGGCUAUGGGCAAAAUGCCCCCUUCUCCCUCCUCUCCCCGCACAGAACAGAGGAGGGGGGGGUAGGGCGCCGGCGCCAGCCCAAUCCGGCCGGCCAGGGCCAAGGCCAGCUCGGGGUGAGGGGGAUGAGAGGGAGGGGGUCACGGGGAACCAGUUCCCGGCCUCACCUCGGGCCGGGGUGGCGCGUGGAGGCGUGGCGACGGUGGGCUGCGGGCGGCGGCGGCGCUGGAAGCGAGGGAGGCGGCGGGCGGUGGCAGUGGAGGCUGUGGGGGGAAGAGGAGCGGGGUGGGGGCCUAUUUAUAGGCGGGAUGAGGCGGUGGGGAGGCCGGAGUUAGGCGGAGGCCGGCGAGCGGCACGGAGCGCCAUUAAUGGUGCUCGGCCGUUUGCUUAUGUCGCGAUGCGUCGUGCGGCGAGGGCGCCGAGGUGCCGUACGUGGGGCUGUGCUGGCACAGGAGCAAGGAAGCGACGGCGCGCGCGGCGGGGCGGAGUGUUGGCGGCGGGCGGCGCGGCACGCGCGGGGAAGCGCUCGUGCGCGUGCGCGUGCGGCGCGGUGAGGUGCGGGCCGGGGGCGGGGUGCGAGCGACGGGCGGCACGGCGCGGCGCACGGCCACGCGCUGCGCGUGCGCGUGCGUCGCGGCACGGCCGGGCAGGGGGGCUCGCGCGCGGCGCGGCAGGGGCUCGCGCGCGGCCGGGGUGAGCGCGCGGGGGUGCUCGGGCAUGCGCGUGUGCGCGGCGCGGGUGCGGUUGACCGGGAGCAGGCGCGCGCGUGCGUGAGGGAAGGAGGGGGGCGGCGUGGCCUGGAAGCCGGAGGCCAGGCGGCGCUCGGGAGCAGGGGAAGAGGAGAAGAGAAGGGAGGAGAAGGGAGGAGGAAAAGAAAGAAAGGAAAGAGAGGGAAAAAGGAAAGAAGAGAGAAAAGAAAUGGGAGAGAGAAAAAGGAAAAGAAAAAGGAGAGAGCAAAAGAGAAAAAGAAGGGGAGGGGGGGUCGCGUCGGCGCCGAUCGCGGCGGUGACCGCGGUCGGUCGGCCAUACGCGUGCGUCAUCCGCGCACUGCGCGAGAAAAGAAUCGCGCCGGCGUUGAUUGCGGAAAAGCGGUCGCGCGUGGUCGUCGGCCGCCGAGCGGUGCGGGAUGGGACAACGGUCAAGUCCGGUGUCGGUCAGAGAGGGUUAGGGCUAGGGUUUUGACGACGAAUGGCUUUUAAACGAGGCACCCUAGCGCGUGAUUUAAUUUGGUGAAUUUUCAGGGCGUCACAAUUGACUGCAUGUCAUGUCCUGAAUAGAGUUUCUAUGAAGAAUAAGGAAAAGACUCCUUACGAGAAGUGAAUUGGGAGAAGAUCUUCACUCUCUUACUUGUGCACAUGGUGUUGUUUGGCCAAGGUGAAUGUGCCAAUCAACAAAAAGCGCAAGUUGAGAUCUAAAACUGUGGAUUGUAUCUUUUUAGGUUAUGCACACCAUAGCAUUGCUUAUAGAUUUCUAGUAGUUAAAUCUGAGGUGUCUAAUAUGCAUGUAAAUUCAUUGUUCGAGUCUCGUGAUGCUAUUUUCUUUAAGAAUAUUUUUCCUAUGAAAGACUUGCAUGUUAUAUCUUCAUUACCUCUGAAUGAAACAGUGAAUACAACUUCUGAAUUUGUUGAAUUUUCUGAGCAUGAUGAACACACACUUGAAUCAAAUCAUGAGGAGAUUCACAGUGAUGCUCCUAGGAGGAGCAAGAGACAAAAGACUGCAAAGUCUUUUGGUGAUAAUUUCACUGUUUAUCUCAUAGAUGAUUCUCCCAAAACAAUCACCGAGGCAUUCUCAUCUCCUGAUGCAGAUGAUUGGAAAGAUGCUGUCCGUAGCGAGAUGGACUCCAUUCUCUCCAAUGGAACUUGGGAGCUGGUCGAAAUACUGUAUGGUUGCAAACCUGUGAGUUGCAAGUGGGUGUUCAAGAAGAAGUUUAAGCCUGAUGGUAAUAUUGAUAGGUACAAGGCUCGUCUUGUGGCUAAGGGUUACACGCAGAAAAAAAGCGAAGAUUUCUUUGAUAGUUACUCACCUGUUGCGAGAUUGAUCACUAUUUAUGUUCUACUCUCCCUGCCUACCUCGCAUGGUCUUCUCAUCCAUUAGAUGGAUGUUAAGACAGCCUUCCUCAAUGGAGAGCUGGAAGAGGAAAUCUACAUGACACAGCCUGAUGGGUUUGUAGUAGAGGGUCAUGAGAACAAGGUGUGCAAGUUGUAUAAAUCUUUGUAUGGCCUGAAGCAAGCACCUAAGCAAUGGCAUGAGAAAUUCAACUUGACACUCAUAUCAGCAGGAUUUAGUGUAUUACCGCUAUGGUGGGGGUCAAGAAGUUAUAUUCUGUUUGUAUGUCGAUGACAUACUGAUCUUUGGGACUAGUCUUGAUGUAAUCAACGAGGUUAAGAUAUUCUUAUGUCAAAACUUUGAUAUGAAAGAUCUUGGUGAGGCUGAUGUUAUUCUCAACAUCAAGCUGAUCAAGGGAGAGAAUGGGAUUACUCUUUUGCAAUCCCAUUAUGUGGAGAAAAUGUUGAAACGGUUUGGCUAUAAGGAUAGCAAAUCUAGUCCAACUUCGAAAGAACAGAAGAAUUGGCAGAGACCAAUUGAGAUAUUCACAGAUGAUUGGCUCACUCAUGUAUCUUGCGAGUGCAACGAGACCUGACAUCUCUUUUGCUGCAAGCAAAUUGAGCCGGUUUACUAGCAAUCCAGGAGAUGAUCAUUGGCGUGCACUUGAGCGCGUAAUGUACUACUUGGUGGAUACUAUGGAAUACGGGAUUCACUAUUUCAGCUUUCAUGCAGUACUAGAAGGAUACAGUGAUGCUAAUUGGAUAUCGGAUCUAGAUAAACUGUAUGCCACUAGUGGAUACGUUUUCACUCUUGGCGGUGCUGCUGUUUCAUGGAGAUCAUGCAAACAGACAAUCCUGACGAGAUCUACUAUGAAGGCAGAACUCACAGCACUAGAUACAACUACAGUGGAAGCCGAUUGGCUUCGUGAGCUCUUGAUGGACUUACCUAUUGUCGAGAAAUCAUUGCCGGCAAUAAUGAUGAACUGUGAUAAUCAAACGGUGAUUGUCAAGGUAGACAGUUCAAAGGACAAUACGAAGUUUUCAAGACAUAUCAAGAGACGGUUAAAAUCAGUCAGAAAAAUGAGAAACUCCGAAGUUAUCACUGUGGGUUAUGUCCACACUGAGAAAAAUCUGGCUGAUCCGUUCACCAAGGGGCUAUCACGCAAUGUGAUAGACAAAGCAUCCAAGAAGAUGGGUUUGAGACCCGUAUAAGCUAUUCCCUAUUGUUAACCCAACCUUUGUGAUCGGAAAUCCCGUGAAUUAGAAUAUGGGAAGAACAAUCUAGAGGUUAGCAUGAGAGUAACCUUUUAUACUCACUCGAGAAGGAUGCAAUACUCUCGAUUACUGCAUGGCAGGUUGGCAUUGGCCUUAAUAUAUUAUGUUGGCUUUAAUUAGUAAAGACGUUAUCCUGGAGAAUGUUCUUGAAAGAAUACACCUAUAUGAGCCCGACUGUUGGACGGUCGCAGUCUGUGAGAUUCGGGUGAUCUCUAUUAAGCUCAUGAAGAGACCAGGGAGUACGACCUAUGUGCUCCAACCGCGAAGUAGCCUACUGGAGGUUAAGUAUCAGUUUGACUGUAAGUGAAACUUAUUUGCACAAAACUUGCUAUUCAAGGCUUAGUCCAUUGUUCAAUUUGUAAAUGAGUGCAACUUACUAUUCUAGAUAGAAGUUCAACUUAACAGUCUCCAUUGAAAUACCGGUAUAUCAAACAACAGUGGGUUGAGACAAAAUCAUAAUGAGACUUUGAGAUCUGGUGGGGAUUGUUGCAAUAUUUGGGCCCAAUAGUGCAAAGGCCCACUAUGUAAAUCCAAAUAAUUCCAAUAAAAUCUCAAAGGCCCAUUAGUGCAAAGGUGUAUGGCAACAAGUUAGUCCCACCUUGCUAGUGGAGGUGGAGGAAAUUCAACUUAAAUAGUUGGAUGCUCUCCAUGCUCUUGCAAGUGUGGGUGAGAGGAAGAAGGAAGAAUACGCGCGAGCUCGCUCGCCUCGCCUCGCCGGGCGCGGCGCGGGCGGGCUUGGGCUUGGGCUUGGGCUUGGGCUUCGGGCGAAGGGCGCACGCACGUGACGUGCGCGUGAAUGGUCCGCCAAAAUCCGGUCCAAUCCUUACGGGAAUGCAGCUUCCUUUUGCAGAUUUGUUUUGUCACUUUGAAUCUGUUACGGAUUUCACGCGCGGAAUUUUUGGGACUUGUAACCGACUUGGUUUUUGGGACGCCAAAAACCAUAGCGGUUCCUUCUUAUAAAUACGCACGGGUGCCGACUAGAAACAGAAUAUAAUAGGCGACGCACAACACGCCUCGACCUGCCUGCUGCGCCGCCGCGUACGCUACUUCAUCCCGUUCGUCGGCGUGCACCGGCGAUCGGGAGAGCAGGUCUCCGGAACCUCGUCCUCAGCGAUCCUGCACCGGGAGAGGGCGAAUAAGGUUUUUGGGAAGCGCUCUGCGCAACUGCUCGAACGCUUCCACAUCGCCUUCAUCUACGUCCUCGUCGCCACGGCUCGUCUUCCUCCUCGUCAGUGGGGUGCGACUCGGCGUUGUCAAGUGCGCGGAGGCGUGCUGAUCGUCGCCGUCGUCUUCUUUACCCGGUUAUUCCGGUCAGCCUAGAGACGUACGGUUUUCUUUCCCUAACUAUAUUUUUCAUACCUAGUAUGAUCUGGUUAGGGUUGAUCUUGCUGCUACAAUAUUUUAUCUUAAAUCACUUGAUCAGCAUGUUUACAUAUGUUCAUUUUCGGUACGCAAUUUUCGUCAUGGUCAUGAUUUAUCUUCGGAUUAAUUUAAAACUGAAACUCUUAUUUUUUCUAUCAUCCGCCACCACCUCGAGGCUUCCCCUCGGAGGCGUCCCUUCGCCGGCGGAGCCCGCCGUCGCCAUGCACCGGACGCACCCCACAGUCUAAUCCGGAAAUAGGGGGGUUUCUACAAAUAAAGGAGGUUUAUUGUAAAUAAUUGGAUCGGGAUUAAUAGUCGCGAUCUGAUUCAUGGGGUUUACUGUAAAUAUUUGGAUCACAAUUAAUAAUCACGAUCCGAUUUAGGGGGCUUUGUGUAAAUAUUAGAAUUGCGAUUAAAAGUCGCCAUCCAAUUCGGGGGUUAGUGUAAAUAUUUUAGGGGGGUUCUGUAAACUAUAUUGACUACGGUCUUCUUCCAGCCCCACUCUCCUCCCGGCUCCGGCGUGCCCGCGCCGCCGCGAUCGCCAUGGAUCCUCCUGUCCCCUCCCGCCCGCCAAAGACGGCGGCUUUGCCGGUGACAUCCACCUGCGCGUACGCGUCCCUUCCGGCGCGAGUGGCGAACCACUCCACCAUCCUGCGUAGCGCGGCGCGGGAGCACGCCGCGUCGGGGCACGGCAGCGCGAGGCAGCGGGCGCCGCCGCCGUCCAGCGCGGCGGCGACGUAGCUGCGCCAGCACCGCGGCAGUAGCGGUGCGCGCAACCCGCCGAGGCAAUGUGCGCAGCGGGCUUCGCUUCCGCGCAAAUGCCGCACGCCACGACCUCAUCGUCGCGGUCGCCAGGGACGACGGCGAACGGGGUGUCGUCCAGGCUGACGGCGUCGCGGAUCUGGUCCUGCUCGGCGAACCACUCCUCGUGCAGCCGCAGCGGGCUCUUCGUCUUCUCGGCGACGUCGUCGCCGCCGCCGUAGACACGCUGACACAGCAGGUCACGGACUUUGGCCCUGUUGCCGUCGGUGAGGUCGUAGACCUCGCCGGAGCAGUUGUCGUGGUCCUUGGCUUCCUUCCCUUGUUUCUAGAUAUCUUAUAUAUGGCCAAAAAUCGCAACAAGAAGAUCGUGACAUCACUUGAUUUUCAACUCCAGCUUCAGAUCAUAUCAUAAAAUGAACUGCUAAAGGUAGCAAAUAUGCAACGCUGAAAAGGCCUUAAAUAUUAGCCUAAAACUAUGCUUUUCAUUCGCUGUCAGAUUAUAGCAAGCGCAAAUUUCAAAUCCUGUCAUGAGAGCUCACAAACAUGUAAACCUCGCAACCAUAAAUCACAGGAGCACAUGACAGCAAAUUAAAUGCCCCUCCCAGCAAACAUGUAUGAUUAUUGAGCCAUUAUUACUGUAGUUAUCACAACCAGUUCACUUGGAUAGCGUUUAUGUUUGCUUACAUAGGGAGGUGUCCUGCUCAGACAUUACCCCAGGAAAAGAAGAAGAAGAUAAAACAGUAAUAGAACAGUAGAUAAACGAGGGAUUUUACUUAAUAGUAAGCAAAAUGGCCUUAUUCAUUUGCGAUCGGACAGGGAGACUUACAGAGGCUUGCACAAAAACUGCAGCUCUCCUUAAGGCUAGCCACUAAGGAAUCAUCAUAUGAUGCAAAGAGAAGGUGAGAAAUACUAGGGAAGGAGGGGGGAAGGAGAAACUAUUCAAGAAACUAAAGCUUCCAUCCAAGGUUGGCAAAGAUCUAUCCUAGUGUACAUGAUUGCUGGACCAAAAGCGCAAGAAGCCAUCUUCGCCAAUGUCUUUGUUUUCAGCACCAACAUCCCUGUAUGUGCAGCCCCCAAGAUUUUGAUCAGGAAGCAUGUGGAUGAUAUUUCAAGUACAGCCCAACCGCAUCGAUCAAGAGUCCCUAUGACAAACCACUCUGCUUAACUUCGACUGGCUUCGCAGGAACAGACGGAUCACCCCCAGACGCUUUCUCGGACGAAGGGCUUACGGUCUUGGACUCACCAAGCCGCACAGCCUGAGCAAAACUCUUGGUGAUAUGCCCCACAAGGUCAGUAGGCACAGUCAAGGGCUUCUUGGGUUCAACAGCAAUAGAAGUGGAUAUAUGUUGCUGAUGCAGCCGUGCCUUAUUUUCCUGCAGCGCUUUCUCACGCUCCUCAUAAAAGUCAAAGUCGUCAAGGAUUGACGCAUCAUCAUCAUGGUUCUUAAAGAUCUUUAGCAUCUCCAGUCCUUGCUCUAGUUUCACCUACAAUAGGCUCAAACAAGCACAGGUGUCACACUAAAUAGGCAAUGCAUUAAUAUAGUCAAAUUUCAGUAUGAAAGUAAAAUGGAAAACAAAGGCACAGAAUAUUAACAGCUGAAACGGAAGCAUGAAUGGCACAUCCUAGCUAGUACACGAUAUGUAUCUCAUGAAUAAAGGAGAGCUAUGUACAACAAAAAUAAAAAAUGUAAAUUAAGCAAAUGGAGAUAAGACUAGAGAGAGAGAAAUCCAAGUACCUCCUGUGUGUCUCGGCUAUUCGUUACAGGUUUAUUGUCGUUGUUUUCAAGAAUUAUAUGGCGGAAGAGAUUAUUGGGGACAUCCUUCACUAUGUGCCACUUAACAGGAAACUGACCAGUCCACUUAUCUUGCUGCCAGUAAUCCACACUUUUCUCAAAGUCCACUGGACCAAUCAUCUCAGCAACACCACAGAAUUGUGCACUAGCAUUUACCUGUAUAUUUUUGUAUCAACUUUUCAUUAUUAGCCCGAGAUAACAAGAUGGGAAGUAAAAAGGACUGACUGACUUAAACAAAACAAUAAGUAAGAUGAUGCUUUAGUUACCGAAAACAACAGAAAAAUGGGGCAGUGCUCUUCCUUCUCCUUAGCUUCACGAUAAGCUGAGUCCAGUUUCUUGUUUCCAUUUGUGGUGCUAGCCCAAACACCAUAUUUGACGCUCUUGUGCACAUUAUCUUCACUGUAUGAUUUUAUGAUGAAAAAUCUGGCAUUUGUGUACUCUGUAACAAAGUCAGGCCUAUUGUAUAACUCACGACCAACUCCUGUAGAAGGCUUCUCAUCUUUACUGUCACCCUCUGGUUGCUUCUUAGGCUUAGUAGCGCGCGGACCCCGACUUUGCUCAUUGAGAAAGUCAAGCGGGCCAUUGCAGCUGCAAAUAAGGGCAUUACCCCUUCCUCUUCUGCGCCCUUUCUCGAUGGAGAUGGAACUUCUACCAUUAAUGCCAAAGCCAGGGAAGGAUCCCCCACAAUUACUGGCCUGUGGGAACAUCCCACCAUGAGAGAAACCCCGUCCGUAGGAGUCAGCUGGGGAUCCGAAACCGUAAAAGGGCUUCUGGUGAGGUGAUGGCUGAAAUCGAGGGAACCAAAUAAAUAUCAGAAGGCAGAUCUACAAGUAAGCAAAUUCAAUCAUGCAGAAAUACAUUCCUGUCUCUUAGAAAAUGAUUUUUCAGUCUUUCUGAACAUAUGAUAAGCAUCACCACAAAAACAACAACUUGGAAUUCCAUGCAAUUGUGAGUAACCCCCAAAGCAGUGACAGGUGGAUGCAGGCAAGAGCAGAAUUUGAGUUGCAGCUGGUGGCUACAAUCAAGUCUGAGUUUAAAUAUCAACGACAGACAUAAAACAAUGAAUAUGAAAAGGCACUAGCUGGUAUAUACUGAAGGUAGGUUUUACAUUGUUCUUCGUGGAUUUAGUGAAGCUAAGAUUUGUUUCUGAAGUGAAAAGCUAACCCCAAGAUUCCCAUGAGAGAUAGUAAAUUGUGCAAAAAGCUGCAUCCAUGAAUUCUCAAGUCAUAUUCGAGGGAAGAUAAACAUAGGGUUAGCAAUGUGAAGACAAUACCAUUCCUGAAGCCAUUGGAAAGUUGCUUUGGCCAAAGGCUCCUGAAACACCACCAGCAGGUUGAGGUGAAGCUGCAGGUGAUGGAAAUGACCCAGUUCCUUCUGAAGAUCUGAACCAUUCUGAAAGAUAUAAUCAAAGGGCACAAAGUUAAGGUCUCACCUAGAACACAAAAGACCUAAAUCAACUGAACAAAGCACAAAGUUAGAUAAUAACCAGGUCUUGGGCCAAAAAGGAAGCUGUUCGGACUCAGAGUAUGAGUAUCAGCAAUAAAACCUCCUUGUGUUGGAUCAAUCGGCAUCAUUGUCUCACCCUGUGAUAUUGGAGGAGAGCUUAAAUAUGGCAGGCCAGGUGGUACUGACUGCUGGUAGUAAGGAGCCGAGAAGGAGAACUGCUGAGGGGUGUAGAGCUGACCAUCUCCACUAACAGCAGUAGGUACAGGUGUUGUAAUAGGAGAAUAAUGAGCAUAUGGGUCAUAUCCAUAGCCACCAUGGAACAUCAAAGAAGGGUCCUCAUUGUACACAACCUUCAAGAAAAGACAAAUUUAGAGAAGUGCUCUUUGGAAAAAUUUUAACAAAGGAAUUUUUUUCUACUUACUGUUGGACCCACUUCCAAUCCUUCGACACUCAUGUAAGGAGGAUAUGUGUCCCAUUCUUGUGGAGGGUUUUCAUAUCCUGAGCCUGCUCAUAGAGGGUUAACUAUGUUAUGGAUCCAACAAGCAUUCAUCAAUUGCGAUGAGAGCUGCAAAAUCAACAAUAUUAAAUAAAACAAAAUAAGUGACUCAAAGGAGUCCACUGAAAAACAGGUUUACAUAUUCUAUUGAUCUAUUCCUGACAAGCAUAGGUAGUUUCAUAGACAAAGACAUCAAGAGCACCUCCUAGUACAUAUGUCUCAAACUUUUGGUAUAAUUGCUUCUUUAUGUUUCCCUAGGUUAUUAUUUCAAACUAUACAGCGCAAUGCAUAAGUCCAUGCUCUGUAACAAAAAGUGACGAGGGAAGGCAAAACAUUACGCAAAGUGUGAAGAGAGGCUAUAAGCAAGCUGACCUUGGUAAUAGAAUGGCUGCGCCUGAGAAGCAUAAAAGUUGUGUGGAUAUGCAGCAUUAUGGUCCACAUCUAUGUUGGAUGUGCCAGCUUGGGUUUGGCCUUCACUUGGUAUAUCGAUAACAUUUGAAUCAACUGAAAUUGGGGGAAAAGUUGCUUUCUCAUCCUUGCUGGGAACAUGCUGAGGUAGAUGGUUGAUACAGUCAGCAAACAAUGUAAACAAAAAGUAAAGGCAAUGUAUUGAAAAGUAAUUACCUGCUCUUUUGGCUUCUCAGUGAGACCAAUCUUUUGAUCGACAUCAGCUAUUGGCUCCUGCUUGUCCAUGGAGCCUGAAACAACAAGGUUCAACAAGUGAGGAUAUCCAAUGCUAAGCAGAGUAAAUAAUAUUGCUGCUACCUAGAUACCCUUUGUUCUGGCCCUACCAAUUUCAAUUUUUUUUAAAAAAAGUUGCUAUGCCACAGAUCUAUAUGGAGUAAGACUAAUGUCUACUUAUUUAAGUAGCAAAAAAAGAUAAUUGCUUCCACAGCAUAUUUACAUCCAGAUACCAUGUGAUCCUACAUGCGAUGCAUGCUGCAUUUAAUUUCUAAGGAAACAUGUCGAUCGUAGACAAAAGCAUGCAUUACAAUCACCGGCACUCAAAAUUCCCGUACUUUGUUGCACGUGCUUGGCAGUUUAACCUACAUGGUUAUGACUUUGAAGUUAAGAUGCAUACACGAUGCACACAAAUCCUAUGAUCAGUCGAAACAAGACCAGAUCACAACUAAGGCCUCAACUAAGGCCUCUCCAAAAAAUCUAGCCUCAUGACAGGGAUGGACACCCUGCCACAACCCUCUGCUUUACCACGGUCUGCACCAACCAUUAACAUGACGUACACUCCUGGCUGCUAAUUGCUUCUGAAGCCCGUUCAGGCAUCUAAAAUCACGUCCAACCCACCCGAAUUGACUGUGCAUCGCUACGGAAAGCACAUACACGUGACGCUUUCUACACCGUACCCAACCAAUUAAACGUGACAUUGAUACACCCGAUGCGUACGAACCUGUAAACGUCCCGUUGCUCCUAACAAAAAGGACUCGCAAUGCGUGAAGCGGAAGCUUGGGCGAUUCCGCCGUGCCUUCGCUGCUGGAAUCAGGAGCGUACACCAUGUCAAGCAAGAAGCCCGAUCGACUCAAUCGCAGACUCCUGAUACCAAGACCGAUUUAUUCCGUAACUCGAAAUCACAACAUUGGCGACGCCUGAACCUGAAUUCGCAUAAGAUCUUACGCACGCACAGUGACCCGGGGGGGGGGGGGGGGCAGACGCACAAGAAUUCGGCGACAAACCGGAUGGAUCGAAGAAGAAAGAUUUUGGAUUUGGAAGCUCCAAUCAAAUCAAAACAAAAGGAUGGUGCAUCAAAACGAGAAACGGACAGCCGAUCAAAGCGAGGUACAGCUCCCGUACAUACCGGCAAUAAGAAGGAAGGAGCCGAUCAGUCGGGGCUGGGAGGGAUCUCCGCUCCAGCGAGCGUCGAGGGCGCCUACUACGAUAGGAGGGGGAGGAGGACCGGUGGGAGGACGCCCGGAUCGGCGCGGAGGCCGGCGGAUCUGGCGAUCGGAUCGGGCUCGAUCGGGAUCCCACACCUGUCUGCGGCUCGUGAUCUGAUGAGCGGAUGGAGGUGUCGAGAGGCGACGGGACCUCCCCCUUUUUCUCUCUAUUGCGCGGUUUUUUUAUUCCUAGUAUUACUUAUAGGUGGCGUUAGGAUUUGGAUUUUCAAAAGAGAGAGACAAGAACAAGCAUUUAUAAUACAAAAAACACAACUUCAACUUUCCAUUCCACAAGGUACAUCCGAUCAGAGUAAUCCAAAGAUUAUUCUUGCAAAUUUUACUAUCUUUCUUUUCAAAGUUGUGAUUGAUAGUCGAAGUAUAGCUAUAAACUGACGAAUCGUACAAUAAAUUUGGAACUAGCACAGGUAUAAUCUAAGUUGGAACAAGCAUUUAUAAUUCACAAAUCGAGGUACUGAGUAUGUGAGUGCAUUUGAAACUAGUGUGGAUUCACCAUCCAAAAUCAAUACCCACAAGAUCUAAAAUCGGAUAAGUGUUAAUAAGUUACAUCAUUUUUUGCUUGAACAACUAUUAAGUUGGCUGAAUUUACUAUGAAAUUACCAAUCGCCAAGUAUAAUAUAUACAACGUGUUGCUGACUUAGCCGGGCAGGUAGAGUGUACAACCGUGCAAGUCAAGUCAAGAUCCAUCCAAGAAGAAGACGCGCCAGAUGCAAUUAAUUUCGAGUAACCUUAUCUUUCCGUCCCUUGAUCUAGGUUUAGAUCCCAUCUAGUACGAUUGAUCUAGCUGUUUAAUUAAUCCAGAUUGGUGGCUGAUCGGAUCUAACAUCCAGGCUUAAAAGUUUCUUAAUUUCAAUUAACUCCAAAGGUUAAGAAAUGAAUGCGCAAAGGUACGGCUGUGUGUUGAUUAACAGUGUAACUAAAAAAAAAGGAGGACGAGGCCAUAAGGUCCAGGCUCAGAAGAUCAUGACUUACUACUUGUCAAUUUCACUGCCGGACAGACGGUGUGAAGUCGCUGAAAACGAAAUUUAAGAUGACAAGUGUUUUCACUGUAGCAUUUCACAGAAAACGAAAUUUAAGAUGAUGGACGUGUUCAUUUUACCAUUUCACAGAAAUCCGUUGUAGUCUAGCUGGUUAGGAUACUCGGCUCUCACCCGAGAGACCCGGGUUCGAGUCCCGGCAACGGAAUUUUUUUUUCCCGAUCUCUCUUUUUGUCCUUUUUGGUGUCCCUUCGUGGGCCGAGGAACAAGCACCCAACAAGAAGACAGGAAAAUCUCCGAGGGGCCCAGGCGGCCCAAACCAUCAUCACUUCCCUCUCCAUCCCUCCUGGUCAGCUCUCUCCUCCCCAGCCGCCACCGCCAGCCAGCCAUGCUGCGCUAGCUCGCGCAGCCGCGCUACCCAUGCCCAACCAAUCCUCCUCCCCUCCCCUCAACUCCCGUACUUAAUCCCUCCUCGUUCGUGUCGUUGCGUGAGCCGAAGCGCGGCCAUUCCCAUCCAAAUGGCGGAGGCGGGUCCCGGCGGCGACAAGCUCAUCCUGCGCGGCCUGCAGUUCCACGGCUUCCACGGCGUGAAGCGGGAGGAGCAGACGCUGGGCCAGAAGUUCGUCGUCGACGUCGACGCCUGGAUGGACCUCGCCGCCGCCGGCGAGUCCGACAGCAUCGCCGACACCAUCAGCUACACCGACAUCUACGGGUUAGGUUCCUCUCGCACGGCUGAACCGCUUCGUUCCUGCUUGUUCACCAGCAUCGGUUCGUGCUUCUAGUACGGACUGAUGACGAUGGUUAGGAAUUAGAAUCACCUUUCGGGGACCUCGAUGAACCAUGAACAUGUAUGUGUGGUUACGGUUUGCUUUGCAGUUGGAGACCUUGAAUUGAACAUGCCUGCAAGUAAUUCAGCCUUGCCGUAAUGAGCUCAGUUCGUCCUAACCUGCCGUUUAGUAUGAUUGAUGAAGGGCAAGGAGAUUAUUGUGCUUUGGUGGACAUCAUUCAUUCUUUUGCUGGAAAUUUACUCUGUCCAUUCAGCUAUGCAAGUAUUACUCAAAAUUUAGGACCUGAAGUUAUGGUUUCAGCCUGCAGGCAAACCAAGAGGCUUCAUCAGUUGAUAAAAAGGGACACCAUUUUACAGACAGCCCAUGCGUUUCAGAAUGAUUCGUUUCCAAAUUUAGUCACCAAAGUUGGAACCUUACAGUUUCCGGUUGUCACUAACAUCAAAUGUGUGAUUGAUUUUACUGUUUACGCCCCUUCUGAAAAGAAAUAUGUGAUUGUUCUUAUUUACACCGAACCCAAAUGUGUUAUGUACUCAUGUGUUCCUCUAGCUGGUUAUGUAAUAACAUUUUAACUUGUCGGCGCAGUUUUUAAAUUUUGAAUGGAACCCCAUGAGAUAAGAAGAACAAGAAGUCCUGAAUGAAACUAUUGCCAGGUCUUAAAUUUGGCUAGUCCUUUCUUUCCCUUUCCUGGGGAGGGCACAAAUACACGCACUUCAUUACUUCAGAGUCCAAACUUGUGUCCCCAAUAAUGUGUCCUCAGAGAUUUCCUGAUACUGAAUAAAUCUGCUUUGCGCCUCCUCUGCAGGAUUGCUAAGGAUGUCGUCGAAGGCACGCCGCACAACCUCUUGGAGUCGGUGUCUCACUCGAUCGCAAAGGCCACGCUGCUCAAGUUCCCCCAGAUCUCCGCGGUCCGGGUGAAGGUCGGCAAACCUCACGUCGCGGUGCAAGGCGUUGUGGACUAUCUGGGCGUGGAGAUAACGAGGCACAGAAAGAAAGCGUGAGAUGAACAACCUGCUCGAUCGGAAGCACGAGACUGAUUUGACUGUGGAAUGGGACUUGUUUGAUUGCUGAUAGACGAUACUGCUGUUGGUCUUGCUACUGUAAUCGAACAGUCCACACUUGUUCGCAUCAUGUUUGAUGAACAAGAUUUGGCUGUGCUGUUGUGUGAACUGAAACGGGAAUAAUCGAAUAACAAUUACAACAAACAUUACUUUUCUAUUUUUAAACAAAUUGACGCACUUCAAACAUCACCUUCUAUAGUCCAUGGUGGAGUUACAGUUUUGAGAUACAAAUGAAAUGCUUGCGAAAUGGUUGGCCCGUGAAUACAAAUGCGGAGAGAGAGGUGCUUCCAUGCUCUUGAGGAAAAAGUAUGAGAGGCAUUUCAAAAAGAGAGAAGAAAAAGAUAGUACCUACCAAAGGAGAAGAAACACAAAAUCCAUGCUCAAAAAGGCGGCCAAUGGUUUUAAAAAGCAGCCCAUGGAAUGGAAGUGGUUGGGAACUGAUCGAUCGCCGCUCUUCCCUAAUCAUUCAAUUCCCUCUCGCAUUCAUCCGUCCUGUUCUGGUCUACCUGUACUGUACCAAGCUCCCUGCCCUACACGUAACAUACUGAUCAGGACCUCAACUAUUCCUCCUGCUCGCAUUGGCCUUCAUUCUUUAACCAUCAUUUUACUCCUCCCAUCAUAAACUCCGCCCCAGGGAUAUGGUUGUUUAUGUGUUGGAUUAGAGCAUGAUUCCCUGCACGCUUUAUGGUCAAGGAACAAUGUGUGUACUAGUAUAUUAGUAUUAGACAUGCUCCUACUAUCACUUAAAGCAGCUCAGAUCACCUGUUCAGAUUAUUUUAUACCAAAUAUGUCUACCAUUACCAUGACACUAGAGUGGAACCAUGUACCAAAUAUUUUCAAGACAUACUAUUAUCUUAUAAAAAAAUAAUGUGAAUUGUGGUUAGUAAGUUCCAACCACAAUCUUACCGUCUGUUUGUUGCCAAGCGAUCACAAUUCCAAGACAACAGCCGGACGGGACGCAAUCCUCCAUUGUCAAACUCAAAUCUUUUCUUGGUUGGUUGAUCCUCAACUAACCUGCACGAAAAUGGCAGCGCAAACCGGCGCAGUCAAAAAAGAAAAACAACCACCAGAAAAGAAGCAAAAAAGAGAGAGGAGAGAGAGUGCGUCCGCUCCUCGGGGUCUUGAUUGACUCUUGAGCUACUCUACUCCCCAAAAAGCAGGGCAAAGGACUCCCCUCUCUGGUGCGGUGGUGCCAGAGAGAGACUGGAGAACUGGAGGAAAGUGAAGCGGAAGGGAGGAGUAGCGGCGAGAGGAAGGCGAAGGGGGCCAUGGCGAGGAAGCAUGGUUGGCAGCUCCCCGCGCACACGCUCCAGGUGCAAUUCCCCUCCUCUUCCAUCUCCCUUGAGAAUUUUACCGCAGGAAUUGGCUGAAAAAAAAAAACCAACGUAUUCGGUCUCAUCAGUUUGGAGAUUUGUUUGCGAGUGGUUUUCACUCCUCGGCGUAAUCUGUCACAAAUUCACAAUCCUCAGUUCGUAUGUGCUACGGCCUACGGAGAGGGAUACGCCUAACGUGGUGUUCAAAAUUUAACACGCGGGGUGCAAGUGCAAUCCUCGAAACAAUGCUGCUGCUAUUUUUUUCCCCCACCACGAACGCGCGAUUCUGCUUACAGUAUAACACUGGGGAGAAGCAUCUUAGAUACGACACCUCUCGUCUAGCACUUUGAUUUCUACUGAAAGAGCUGCAAACGAAAGAAACCCUUUUUUUUUGUUUCAGAUAUACUACUAGUAACUAGGAGCAAGCUACUCUUAGCUGUAGCUCCAGUAGGGAUGGCUUUUGUUCACGUUGUUGGUUUGGUGAUUAAGCUACUGCCUGAAGGCCUAGAUCAUGUCUAACACUGGUGAUGGUGAACCUGUUGUAUAUUCAAUGAUUAUGGAACCACGUACACAGUGCUCUGAUGGAUAGCUCCAUAUCUAACUUUCUAACAUUUAAAAACUAUGUCUCAAUACUGCAAUCGGUUUGUGCUUCUGACGAAUCUUCAGACUGUUUAAUAUUUUCCAACUAUCAAUCUGGCAAAAAGAAGGAAUGAAGUUACCAAUUAUUCCCCAAAGGGCAAAUAUCAUCAUGCUAAAAAGUUACAGGCAUGCAUUUAUGUUUUAUAGUUUACAGUGCUAUCUUAAAUUAGUUAUGUACUGUUAGUUAAAAAAAUAAAUUGCAUGCAGUUAUUUUCACCUCUACACAAACAUUAUGUUAUCUGCUCGCCUUUUUUUCCAGGAUUAUUGUACUCUGAUAAAAAUCCCAAACUUGUCCAAGACGUUCUGUUUUUCAUCUUGCCAACGGUGGCAUGACAAUUUUCCUAAUAUAUUAUGGAACAGGUUGUCGCAAUUACGGUUUUCUUGCUUCUGGUGGUUGCAUUUUAUGCGUUCUUUGCACCAUUUCUAGGGAAGCAAGUCCUAGAAUAUGUUGCAAUUGGCACCUAUACUUUCGUGGUAAGCCAGCCAAACUGCACCUACAUUGUAUUUCUUUGUCAUUUAAACGCAUUGAUGGCAUUGCUAUAAUUUUUACUUGCAUGAAUUCUGCCAGGCAUUCGCUGUUUUCAUCCUUUAUAUCCGGUGCACUAGCAUAAACCCUGCAGAUCCUGGGAUCAUGUCACAGUUUGAGGAUGGCUUCAUUGAUGCACCUGGAAGUACUGCUGACAUACAGGGCAAGGGCACAAAUUUGCCAGAAAAAACUGAUACUGCUGCUGGAACAAACUCCCCAACUUGUAGGAGCUCUCUAGAUGGCUGUUCUAAUCGUGGUGGUUUAGCUGCUGGAGACGCAAAUAUAGAUCUAAGGUCCCAACCACCAAGAAAUUCAAGGAGCUGCUUACUUGGAGGGCUUGUUUGUGCUUUGUUUAUCAAGGAGGAUUGUAGGAAAUUUGAUGAUUCAGAGAAUCAGGUGGACGGUGAAGAUGCCUUGUUUUGCACAUUAUGUAAUGCUGAGGUACAUCCAUGUGCAGCUGUUCAAUGUUUCAACCACACAGCAGCUUUUGCCUUAUCCUUAGUCAACACGUCCUAUCUGUCUUAGCUGCCACACAACUUGGGUCAAAAGUGAAAACUUGUGUUGUCAGGUCUUGCUGACUUGCAAAGAAAAAUUUUCAGGUUCGCAAAUUCAGUAAACAUUGCAGAAGCUGUGACAAGUGUGUGGACGGAUUUGAUCAUCACUGUCGGGUAUUUCUUACACAGAAACUGCACGCACCUUAAAAUUUUAAUUAUGAAAAUCUCAUGUUUGGAUCCUUGGCAGUGGUUAAAUAACUGUGUUGGACGAAAGAACUAUUUCACUUUUCUCGCUCUGAUGACUACCAGUCUCCUAUGGGUAUGUAAAGUGACUUUGUGUAUUAUUUAAUCUCUAAUAAUUCAAGUACUUGCUAAACUAUUUUAUCUUUCGUAUUGUAGCUUGCUAUUGAAAUUGGAGUAGGCAUUGCUGUUCUUGUCAUAUGCUUCAUCAACAAGAAUUCAGAGAGAAUUAUUCAAGACAAGCUUGGGAAUGGCUUACCUCGUCCUGCCUUUGCUACCAUUGUAGUAAGUUCUAGCACAUAUUGUCAAUACUUUAAUAUUGUAAUUUAAUCUUGCUACUACAUUAUCAAUUGUAAUGAAUAGAUUUCUAGAACUGUAUACUUCUUUAAAAAUGUGACAAUUCUAUAGUCAUUGUUUCCUGUUUCCAUGACUUUGUUAGACUAAGACUUUGCUAUUGGUUGACUGAUUGUAAACUUCUUAUGUGCAGGCCUUUUUCACUCUUCUUUCUCUAGUUGCUUGUGUACCUUUAGGAGAGCUUUUCUUCUUCCACAUGAUCUUGAUCAGAAAGGUUUGUCUCAUAAUUUUCACCAUGAACAAUAUGCAUAAAGAGGCCAUCUUGUUUCUUACUAUAUUGCUUUUUUUUUCUACGUAGGGGAUCACAACUUAUGAAUAUGUUGUUGCAAUGAGAGCUAUGAGUGAAGCACCUCAAGAGGAAGAAGACCAGGAGGAGGUAAACAUUGUUUACUCCCCAACAAAUUCAGCCACUACCGGGUUCAGUGGUGCUAGUUCACUUGGUCUUCACUACAAGGGUUCAUGGUGCACACCUCCAAGGAUUUUUGUUGAUCAGGUAAUUUUCAAUGGUUCAGACUGCUUUGAAAAUUUGGGUCCGGCUAAAAAAUUGCAUACUAACUUUGAACAUUGGGUAAGAAGCUGCGUGAUGGAAACGAUGUGUAACCCAAGAGGUGUUCUUUUCUAAUUUUUCUGCACUUCCAACUCUGAAACAGGAUGAGGUGAUCCCACAUUUGGAGCCAGGCAUGGUACCAUCAACCGUCGACCCUGAUGCUGUUGGACACGCUGAAAGAGCAAACAAAGCCAAGAAGCAAGUCAAAAUCAGUGCCUGGAAGCUUGCAAAGCUGGACAGCAAUGAGGCAAUGAAAGCUGCAGCGAAAGCUCGAGCAUCAUCCUCUGUCCUCAGACAUAUAGAUACCCGCAGAGGUCCAGGGUCUAGCCUUAGCUCUAGCGGCAAUGCUAGCAUGAGAAGCAGCAUGAGUGCUGAUUACAGUGGGAGUGCCACAAAGGAAAAAUGGGCUGAUAUAAAGCUGUCGUCUCUUCAUAGCUCCUCGUAUCCUCAGAGCCUCGCAAGCCAGGACGACUAUGAAUCAGGCACGCAGAGUGCUAGCAGCAUAAGCAGCCCAGUCCGCACACACAAGCCUGCGCCUCACACUCAGAUUAGUGUUCCACCUCGUGCGCCCCCACCACCUUCAAGGCCUGCACCAAUGGUACCGAGGCCGCCACCUGUUCCAACCACACAGAUAUCCAACCCUGUGUUCCAGUCAGCAACAUCUUAUGUCCGGGAGAACAGAAAAGCAUCAGUUGUUUGGGAUCAAGAGGCCGGCCGGUACGUUUCGGUGGCACCCGCACCCACAAGACCAGGAGCUGCUGGUGGUGAUCAAGCAGCAAGAGCACCUCGGUUCUUGGCAAACCCAGGUGGUGAGCUAAGCAAUCGCGGGAGAAAUCUCGCGCCCGUGAAUGCCUCUUCCCCAGCAUUGCCAUCGGGACAGCCGUCUGAGAGGUUGGCAUACACUGGGCAGUCGAUAUUCUUUGGCGGACCGCUUCUUGGUGCUGCUGCUGCUGCUGGCACUCGGAGGAGUGAUGACGCGGGUGCAAGAGCACGACCCGAGGAAAGGAGGGAGCUCACUGCCCACCAACAACCUGACACUGGGGGAGAGAGGAGGCGAACCGCAGAGUCCUUCCCGGUGUUUGCUCCACGAACGUUUCAGAAGAACCCACCACCGUUCAACAGGUGAGCUCAGGGUACUUGUUUGCUGAUAGAUCACUACCGACAAUGGGGGUAAGAUGAUCGCUGCAGGGUGACAUGGUAAGAGUUCUGAACAAUUGAUCACCAAAGAUUGCCAGCAGAGCAGCAUCUGUCGGAAAUCCAUCGGAAAGGGCCAACAGGGCUGAUCUUUACAGUGAAGCUUGACUGGAAUGAAAACUGGAAGCAUGACAGUUAGAAGAACCGAUCGGUUGUGAUGUAAAUUCUUUGCUCGUUAAUUACGGGUAGCAUUUUUUGUCCAACUUUCUAGUGCUUGAGUGCUCAGGACGAGGGUGUCUGAAAUCCAUACCAUUCCAAGAAAUCCUCACAGUUUAUAGAGAUUGCAAUACAUCUUAUACAAAGCUUUAUGGUUUCUUAUUCGUUGUCAUUGAGCCCCAGUAUCUCUUUUACCUCGAUUGCUUUUAAAUAUUCAUUAAUACUACGUAUAAUUCUCCUGAGUAUUGUAAAAAAAAACACGGUUGUCAGGCCAGUUUGGUUAGGGUGGGUGGCGUCAAAAUAUACGAGAACAACGGUGGUAUUCGAACGUGAAUAGUCUGAGCAGAGCUGUUCCAGAAAUUCUCUCAUUUGCCACGAUUAAAAUAUUGAUCGAUCUGUACCACUGGUCUGCUAGGCCGUUUAUAGAUUAAUUAAUCAUAUGAAUUCUCUGUUUUCUAUGGAAACCUAAAUUACAGUCAAAUUGCCGCAUGGAGACAGGAUAAAACAAAAAUUAGCGCUCCAGGAAUUUUUUUUGACUUCAAGCCAAGUUGACUUUUGUUUGACCAAAUGGAGCAUCAGCAUGACGACUUGGUAAGGAAGGGCGGGGACGGGGGAGGCAGUUAGCGAGCGAGGCCGGCAGGCAGCAGCAGGCAGCCAUGAGCGGCGGCGGGAUGGAGGUGGAGGUCCGCGUGGUGGGCGGCGCGCGGAGCUGCUUCGUCGCGCUCCCGCUCCACCUCAUCCACGCCCUGGAGCGCACCUCCGCGUCCGGCGACCUCCCGCCCGUCCUCGCGCUCGAACUCCGCGGCCCCACCGGUGGCCGCUGGUCCCUCGCCUGGUCCGGCGCCGCGUCCCGAUCCCGCGCCAUCGAGGUGAGCGGCCCCCAACCAGCCCCGCUAUCCCGUUCCUUACGGCAGCCGUAGCUUUGUCAGUUGAUGUCCGGCAGUCAUGAACUACCAGUAAAUCCUCUGUUGAAUUGAUGCCUGCGGUCGGGAAUCGGGGAUUGUGGAUGUCGAAUUUAUCGACGCUGUGUAUAGUAAAUUUUGGUACUGGGGAGUGGGCAGAGUGAUUCAUUGGUCUUAGCUGAAUAGCAGUUUGACUAGAGACUUCAGAGUCGCAGGGGAUCAAAAUCAUCGAGCUCUUUCCUACUUCCUUGUCGGUUUUGUACUGCUUUCGGCAUCUCUGCAUACAGAAUUGUGAUGACCAUCUCUUGUCUGUCCUCAAUUUGUUUACCUCGCACACUCUUAUGUAGCAAAAGUGCAACCUGGAUAUCUGCAGUAUCAUGACAUCAAAUGGUGUGUCUUGCAGGUUGCACAAGAAUUGGCAGACUGCAUUUCACUGCCUGAUGGAACUAUAGCACAGCUGAGCGUAGCUCGCUCUCUGGCCAAAGCUGACUCAGUCAGGAUAGAACCAUACAGUGAGGAUGACUGGGAGAUAAUAGAGAGCCGUGCUAAGUUGGCUGAAGAAACAAUCUUGAAGCAGGUGGUCUUUUGUUUUUCAGAAAAAGAAAAUAAUCAACUUGUUCUGUUAUUCUUGUGUAGUCCAUCAUGUUGCCACUUUUCACUUUUCGUAUAGAAAUUUAUUUAUUUCUUCUUGAAAUCAGGUAGGCAUUGUUUAUGAGGGUAUGAAAUUCCCCUUGUGGUUGGAUGGCCAUAAUAUUUUGAAGUUUGUUGUGAUGUCAUCUUGCCCAGAGAAGUCAGUUGGUAUACUUCUUUUACUUUGUCUGCUAACUUCUACAUUUUUGUUACAGCCAUUAGUUUUAUAAUUUGUAUUUCUUUCAGUACCCUUUUAACUUAUUUCAGUGAUAAAAAGUGAUGUUUUCUUCAUACGCUGUUAAUUUUAUGUGAAGUUGUUUUGAAAUAGGUCAGUGAACACUUGUCAGUAAGUAAUUUUGUUGUAAUCGAGGUAGAAAACAAUUGUUGUGUAGCUUACAAAAAACAAAUACUCUUUAGCUUCUGAGUUGUGCUUGCAGAAGUCAUUAUUUAUUUACCUAUAAAGUAAUUGUGCAGUCCAGAGUCUGUUUUGUUGGCAGAAAGGUUAGAUACUUUUAAUAUCUUCUUGUCUAUUUUCACAUUUACUCUGAAAACUGGCAUGAGUUUGAUCCUCUGAUAUCCUAAGAUAACUUCCUACAGCACCUAACCUGGAGCUACCAAUCUACAGCAUAAUUCAUGCAGGGUGCCUAAUAGGAUUAUGUUUUGUAAGGUUUAUGUUAUCUUGAAUCAAACAUGUUACCUACUUUAACAAUCUUACUAGUGUGGAAGCAACUAGAUUUCCAAACUCGAUAUAUACUAGUGUGUAAGCAGGGUGCUUAAUUAACAUCUUUUCCCUUCUUAUAAAAUGUUUCAGAACUUUAGAAUCAAGUUUGAUACAUUCAUGCAUGUAAGAUGUCUAAUGAGUACCUACUAGACCUAAUUUAUGCCUUAGGAAGAAAUACUGAAGAUUGUUUAAUUCUGGGAAAUCAUUCCAAAGUUCUAUAUAACGUUAUGUGAUUUUAGUAAUCUCAUAAGAGACAAUCUAUUCAUUAAAUGUUUCUACUUUUUUUAAGUUGUCAAUUUUAAUUUCUUCUUAUCUGUUGCUAAAGAUCCACUGCGUUUUUCUUUCUUUUAGUUCAACUUGUGCCAGGAACUGAAGUUGCUGUUGCACCCAAAAUACGCAAAGAGCCUUCUCAGGAUGUGAAAAAGCAAAGUGCACUGGAGGAACAAGUUAAAACAAAGGCAUUCCUGCGUGUUCAACCGGCUGAUAGGAAGCAUAUACAUACAUUCAAAUAUAAAGGUGUUGACAUAGGGGUGGUUCUCAGCUAUGCUGUGCUAAUACACCCUGAUACAGCUACAAGCAUUUCGGUUGGCAAUCUCCAAUUGGUCACUGUUUCACCUAAAUCAUCAAAGAAAAGACCCGCUCAAAAUGGCAAAGAAGUUGCACAAAAGAAGGGAAUGUCAGUAGCUAAAGAAAGAACCCACGAAGUUGUGGUUUAUAUCUUACUCUCAGACUCUGUUGCCAAAGGGCAUGUUAUGCUCCCCUACUCUAUUCGACACUUCAUAAGUGCUGGUGUACACUCAUGUGAGUGCACAUGUCUUUCUUCCAUUUACCUAGAAGCAUCCGACUUAUAGUCUUUGAAUUCAGAUCUGAGGACAAAGUAUUUCCUAAUAACUAUUUUAUCUGUAUGCUGUUGCAUUUUUUCUGCUCUUUAUUUUACAAUACUCUGAAAAGGUUUUUGCUGAUCCUAGGGGUGUAUAUUAAGACAUACUCAGCUAAUGUCACGAAGGAUGAGCCCAUAGCGACAAUAUCUUCUUUAAGGUUCAAGAUGCAUGUGAAAGAUGCCCAUGGUAACAGCGAAUUAGUCACUCAGGAUGCAGACACUUCUAAGAUAACCAGAAUUCCUCCAGAAAAUGAUGAUUUCUUCCAGGAAGCUCAUUAUGGUGAAAGCAAAAGUCUUCAGGGUGCAGAUAUCGAGAGCAUUUCUGAGUCUGUGUCAAAGCAGAAGUUUUUUAUUAAACAUUGGCUUCUCGGACAACUUAAGGAAAUGGGUUUACAUGCUAGCCAUACCGAGAUAAGUUCAAUAGUUUUACCAGCCAAUGUUGUGCUCCAUUUUGAGGUGGCAUAUAAAAAACCAAACAGAGGAGUUGAAUUACUAUACCUGCUCACAUUUACUUCUGAAAACUCUAGUUUUGACAAUACACAACUCAAGGUUGAGACUGCUUGGAGUGCUCCAAUUGGCAGUCCAGAAAAUGUGGAACUGCAUUUCAGGAAGUUGGAGUUGGGAGAGCCUGUAUCUUUUGGUUCCAUAAUGGAUAGUAGUGCGACUGAUGAUUUCAAGCUGACACGAUCUUCUUUAGGCUGGAUGGAGAAUGCAAUGUCAGAUGUGACAAAAAGUAAUACUCUUUAACCAGAUAGCCAAAUAGUUCGUUUUAUGCAUCUAUUUGUUGUUUGGCUACUGCAAUUCUUGCUGUUGGCAAGCUGACUUGAUAUGAUUCCCUUUCUGAAGGAUUAUCUGUGCUCUUAUCAUCAACUAGCCUGAGGUUAUUUAACAGACUAAAGUUCCCCUUUCCUGGACAUGUUCUUGUCUAUGGGCCUCGAGUAAGUAACACCAUCUACUUUAUGUUGUAAAUCUUGACAUUAUAUUGUGUUUUCAGUUUUCAUGCAUUUGUUAUUUACAGCUGUGUGGCUAAUUUUCUGUUUCAGGGUUCUGGGAAAACUGCUUUGACCAGGGCAUCUGCAAAAUACUUUGAAGAUCAUAAAGAGAUAUUGGCACACGUGUAAGACACUCUGUGGAAUCUUAUUGUUCUGAGUUAUGUUAUAUUUCUUCUUUUGAAGAAAGCAACAUUGUGACCUAAAUCUUAAUUAUAUCAUAUUUUUUUUCAAAGAGCAGAAUAUACAGAGAUUGUUCCAAACUUGCCCUGGGCAAGGCUAAGGAGACAAGGCAAGCAAUUGAGGACAGCAUUUCUGAAGCGCUGCUUCAUUCACCUUCGAUCAUCAUAUUUGAUGAUCUGGACAGUGUAGUUUCGGUCUCUUCAGAUCCUCAAGUUUCUCAAUCGUCCAGUUCUUCUGAUUCUCUAGUAAGGUAUUUGGCUGACAUUAUGGAUGAGUACAAGGUGAGGAGAUGUUAUGACAAUUGUCUUUAUUCACAUUGUUGAAAUUUAUUAUAAAUAUGCUUUGAUUGCGAUUGUCUCAAAGUUUCUUUUCCGAUGUUAUCUUUUUCCCUGUGAUAGUUAUUUAUUAUUUUAUUUACUUUUGCUUGCCAUAACCACUUUCUAGGAUAAGACUCGAAGUACAUGUGGAUAUGGACCUAUUGCAUUUAUGGCUUCAGUUCAAUCACUUCAGAGUCUUCCUCAAGACUUAACCUCUUCUGGUUAUUUCCUUUUCUACUGUUCUUCAAAGUCCGGUGGUUGAGCCUGAGACUUCAAAUGUAUAAGAAUGUUUUUUUUCCCACAGGUAGAUUUGAUUUCCACAUUGAGCUUCCUGCUCUUGCAGUCCCUCAGCGCAAAGCACUUCUGAAACAUCAAGUUGAGGAGCAUGAGUUGCAGUGUUCUGAGGAAGUUCUGUCUGAGAUAGCAUCAAAAUGUGAAGGUUAUGAUGCAUAUGACUUGGUAAUGCUAAUUUUUUUUUUCUCAAACUGGUGGGAGAGAAAUGCUAAUUUUUAUCAAUACUUUUGUCUCAUGAACUUUUUAUGAUUAUAAUUAUGGAAUAUUCCUUCAACAAGCAAAAAUGGUCUAGCGUACAUAUUUUUUUUUAAUGAAUUUGGUGGGUAAAGAAUACAUCCUGUAUAUAUACUAUUUUAUUGCAGGAAAUUUUGGUUGAUAGGGCUGUGCACGCUGCUGCUUCUCGGUUUGUUCUGCCUUCUAAUGCCUCUCCGAACUCUGUGAAACCAACUUUGGUGAUGGAAGAUUUCUCAAAGGCAAUGCACCGCUUCCUUCCCGUCGCAAUGCGUGAUCUUAGAAAAUAUGCUCCUGAUGAUAAAGAUGGUGGCUGGGAAGAUGUUGGAGGGCUAAAUGAAGCAGUAACUAUUAUUAAAGAGGUGCACAUUUCUUGCUUUCUUGUUUUAAGGGUGUUCAUCUCAUCAAUAUGCUCCUGAAAAACUAACCAUUUUUGGACACCUUUCAUUUGGUUGCCUGUGUAGAUGAUCCUACUUAUAUUUGUAUUCCUUCUUGUAGACUCUUGAAUUGCCAUCCAAAUACCCAAAUAUAUUUACCAGGGCACCUGUACGGUUGCGAUCAAACAUUCUCCUGUAUGGACCACCUGGAUGUGGCAAAACUCACAUUGUGAGAGCUGCAGCCGCAGCUUGUUCUUUGCGAUUCAUUUCAGUCAAGGGCCCAGAGCUAUUGAAUAAGUACAUCGGUUCAUCUGAGCAAUCUGUAAGGACGUUUCUUUCCUUUGAGCAUUGCAUGAAUGUUUCAUGUUUUUUCCCUUCUUACACUAAAGAUAUUUGAAGGUGUAGGAUAUUUCCUUGUCUAUUUGAAGGUGUCAGUCAUCAUGUUUCUAAUGUUGAUAAACCAAUUCCAGGUUCGUGACUUUUUUGCAAAGGCAGCUGCAGCAGCACCUUGCCUGCUAUUCUUUGAUGAAUUUGACUCCAUUGCACCCCAGCGAGGAACCCAUAGUGCUGGAGUUUCUGAUCGUGUUGUUAAUCAGGUAACUAACUGUCUCCUUGCCUCUAAUAUGAAAAAAUCUCUAGGUUGAUUUUUACUUACAGGAACAAGAACGAUCUAAAUGUCCAUUUGAUUGAUCAUAUGCAGUUCUUGACGGAACUAGAUGGUGUGGAAACUUUGACUGGAGUAUUUGUAUUUGCAGCUACGAGGUUAGCUCCGUGCAAGCAUGAUAAAUGUCAUAGUUUUUGCAGACCUAGUCUUCAGCUCUUCUAUUAUGUACUUUUACAAAGGGAUGAAAUGUGCUGGAGAGUUCCUUUUCUUUUAUUGCUAUGGACUAUAUUGACCAGCCACAGAACGUUUUGCUUAAGAGCUUUGCAAAGGGUGAAAAUGCUGUGGAGUUUUUCUUUUUGGCUAACGUUAGGGAAUUUGACUAAAUAGCUAGCUUAUUUAGUUAAUUUGUGUUGCCUAUUCUUAUGGGAUGGCUUAUUAUUUUGUGCAGCAAGCCACAACUAAUUGAUGCUGCACUCUUGCGGCCUGGAAGGUUUGAUCGUCUAGUCUUUUGUGAUUUUCCUCGAUGGGAUGAACGUUUGGAAAUUCUGAAGGUGCAUUCCAGGACGGUGAGUCUUCUCUUGGAAACCUGUGGUUGUUGCUUCUGUCAUGUUUUCUUGUGUCUAAUUUCACCAAACUUUCCAGGUGCAUUUUCUUUGUAUGUUGCAUCUUUAGAACAAUGCUAGCUUUCGUCUUAACCAGUUUUCAGCUUCUCUUAGUUGGGCCUCAUUUCUAGUUUUGCUUUUAAUUUUCGGAAAGACUUCAAGCUGAGAAGUGUAUUUACGCAUUUCAUGACAGUGUGUUUUUUCAUUAAGGUAUUAGUAUAUUGCUUUCAAUGCUUGCUUUAUGUCUUUUGUUGGUAUCAGGUUUCGCUGGCAGGUGAUGCCAGUCUGGAAGAUGUUGCUUCUCUGACCGAAGGAUUUACUGGUGCUGAUCUCGCCGCUAUUCUAACGGAUGCUGGGUUGGCAGCAGUGCAUGAACUUUUGGACAACCGGGAGAACGGGGUCCCAGAAAGCGAACCGUGCAUCAGCAAAGAACUUCUCAUGUCUGUCACUAGGAAGGCUAGACCUUCUACACCUGCAGACGAUAAGAGGCGGUAUGAUAGGGAGUUUGGUGAAUUUGUGUCAUCCAGGAAGUCUAUUUCCACAAAGGUGCACCUCACAUCCAAUUUACAUCAUCAAACCAUUGAUAGCUGUACUGGAAAAAAUCGAGAAUCCUCUAGUGUUUCUUGUUAUGAGAUUCCGUGAAUAACUAGUGGCAGCAUUUGGUGCAGGCAAGAGAGUCGAAAGGCAAAAAGGUCACACUAGCUUGAGUCUCUCCAACACAUCAGCGUAUUGCGAAAUCGAUCAGGUAAGGUUGGUCAGGCUAUUUAUUAUCUAAUUGGACGGAAGUCCACGAAAUAUGAUGUUGUCGAGCAUUUUGAUGAACUUCUUUCUACAAUGAAGAUGCUUAUUCAGGUUACUCUUAUCUUAUGUUCAAUGGUGCAGCAGGAGAUUGCUAGGCACCAUGGUUGUGAAGCAGGAGCUUUGUGCUUGACUUUCCUCCGAAAGAAACAACAUAUACGAAGACAACUAACCAAGGUUCACUUGUGCUGUAUGCCGAGUGGAGGACAGCCAUUGAAAAGGAACCAAUGGCCGAAGGUGCUCCGACCAGAUGUUGAUAGCAUUGUCACAAUUCUUUGUACGACGGGGUAUAGUAUAGUACAUAGAAAUGCUAACAGAAAACAUACAUGUUAAUCCUUGGCUCGUCUGUAAAGGAUGCUGUGACACAGAGGCACGGAAAUGUUGUUUCUCUACGGGUGGAGCUGAUUGAUCCAGCUAUUCUCUGUGCGCCGAAUCGGUGAUUGAUCUAGUUGUGCUCAGCUCGGUGGGGCUUUUACCAUGGCCCUCUCUAGCCACGGGAUAAUGAAGGAUUUGCAAGGGUUGAGAGUUGAUUGGGGGGAAUAAGUGGGUGCCACCACUUAGCUCUCCUGAAUAAGCACCAGUUUUGUUGACAUUGUAAUGAUUUUUGGAUAGCAGAGCUGGUUGGUGAGUGGCUGCUUUUUGUUUGUAUCAUAUUGGUUUUGUUGUGGUUGUUGCGGAACAAAGAGUUCAGGAACCCUAGAGUCCGCGAGCUCCCCUGUGCUAUCAAUCUCCAUCCUAAAAACUAAACUAUAAACUAAACUAUGUAUUUAAAAAGUCAAAAUAAAUUGUAAUUUAGGAUAGAGAGAGUAUCGAAGAAGGAGGAGGAGGAGGUUGCUGACGACCGAACCUCCACUCCAGGGGGCUGUUCUUCUGUGAUCAUCGUCAGGAGCCGGUCGAGCUCUGUUGGUUGGACCCUGCUGGUUUGUGGAGACGGAGAAGGCCCAUUGUAAAUGCAAAGCCCAAGCAGCAAAUAACGUUGGCAUUGGCGCGAGAAAUGUUGUGGGCCUAAUUGUCAUCCGGACCGGACCGUGGAUUUGGUGGAUAGCCCAACAACGCAAAUACACGGCCCGCCAGCACCCUAUUAGUGGGCCCGCGGUGUCAGUAGGCAUCCAAGAGGAGGGAGGCGAGGGCGAGCCGACCCCGACCGCGACCGGCGUGGAGAGAGAGAGAGACGGACACAGGCGCAGCAGCGGAGGGGGAGGGAGAGAGAUAAACCAACCAGGCGGAGGGGGAAGGCGAAGGAGCGCUCGUCGGCGAUGGCGUCUGGGUGGGGCAUCAACGGGAACAAGGGCCGCUGCUACGACUUCUGGCUGGAGUUCAGCGAGUGCAUGAGCCGCUGCCGCCAGCCCUCCGACUGCGGCCUCCUCCGCGAGGACUACCUCGAGUGCCUCCACCACUCCAAGGAGGUGAGCUACCCGCCGCGUCCGUCUCGACCCCUCUGCUCCCGCCAUUUCGUUCGAUUCGUCGCCUCCGACUCCGAACCCUAGCGUCAGAUCCCCGCCAUCAUCGUGUAACUUGUAUUCGACCGCCUAGGCUAGAUCUGCCGCGUUCUUCACAUCCCUUCUAUGCCAGGCUCUGAUUUCUCGGUCUUGGCCUCUCUUGCCAUCACCUCGGUCUCUGUGAAUGAUAGUGCGGGGAAAUGGUUGAGGCGUUUUCGCCUGAUUUUGUAGCCGAAUUUGUUAACGCAAUUCGAUUUUGGAGGUUUGACUUCAUGCCCAUUGUAUUGGAAAUUCACUAUAGCCCUGCUCGGACAUCCUAGGGUAUUGGAUUAAUUGGGCUCUGACUCCAUUAUGGCUUUAAUUGGACAGGUUAGCUUGGGGGUUCUACAGUAUGUUGCAAUUGCUCAUGCGCAUGGAUAAACUUAAUAGUAAUGGAAAACUCCUGAAAUGGAGACAUUGCGGUAUAUUUUCUGUAAUAUUCUGGAGUGUUGUGGUCCAAAUUUCCUAAUACAGAGUAUUUUGGUUCCUUUCUCUACAUAUAAGUUGUCAAAUCUUGCUUCUUGUGAUUGGAUAGCUGAUUCCAAGGAUUAAUGUUCCAGGAUAUGACUAGAAAAUGAAAAGGCACAGGAGUAGAAAUCACAUUCGUCAUGGUACUUCUCAGCAUAGCAUGUCCUCUGAAAUGUAAAAAUGGAUAAACCCCUGAUUCCAGAGAACCAAGAAAUAUUCUGAAUUGUUGACUACUGAUGAAUCCAAUUACAAGACAAGUGAGCAACAGAUUAGAAUACCUAUAUUUGUCUGAAUUCUGUUGUUUCAAUAAUUGUUAUGAGCCUUUUUAGGGGGGAACGAAUAAUCAAGAUGAGCAGAUUUCAGAAUGUUGACUGAACCCUUUGUGAUUCUUCUUCUGCAGUUCCAGCGCAGGAACAGGAUCUACAAGGAGGAGCAACGUCAGGUCAGAGCUGCUGCUCGCAAGGCCAAGGAGGAAGCUGAGGGAGCUCCUGCUGUUGCAGCUCAUCAUUAGUCUCCAUGUCAAUUUUAACGUGUGUCGUUGUUUUCUGUCUACUCAUCUUUGGUUCGGCUGUGAUGCUAAGAGCAAAGUAAUAAUCUUCCAUCUUUCUGUUGGACUGCACAGAAUUUUUUUUCCCCAGCUCACUCCAUGACUUGUUCUAUAUCAAGACUUUAGUAAAAAGGUCACGGUCAUGAAGUUUCUACUUGUUUGGGGAUAUUGAGCAACAAAUGGUGUUUGAAUCGAGCAUUAAACAUUUGCACAUUUACAUCUCCGAUCUCUCUUGAUUUUCCUGUGGCAUUGGAAGAGAAACAUUGUGCCUUUACUCGAUAUGAUGGUUGAUUUUUGUGGGAUGGGUUCUGGCUGUUGCUUUGCACGCCCAUCCCGAAAUUGUUCACCAGCCGGAAUAGUAUCCUAGUUCAUCAAUUUGGUUCUGAACUUCGAAUUAUGGUUGAAGAUAAUGAGAAACGUUUGGCGGUUCUUCAGAAAUGUGCUCUGAUUGCCACAUCAUGCCGUUGGAUAAAAUAAUCGCCUACUUAUGCCAUUUUUAUGUUUCAGUCAUCCCGAUAUUUGCAAUCGGUUUCACCUGGUGGUGUAUUUAAUUUUCUCAUGGAGGAGACAGAAUCGGAGAUGAGACCGUAGCAGUUGCAGCUGAGAUAUUUUAGUUGCUGAACUUUUAGAGAUUUAGGGCCUGUUUGGAUGGGGUUUAGUCACCCCCUCUUAAUCCAUUUUUAGUCUUUAGGGAGCCAAACACAGGGACUAAAAAAAGACCUAAAGGCAUUAGUCCUUUAGCCCCCAAGGGGGUGACAGGCCCUUAAGACGUCGAAAUACAGUUAUCAAACCCGAACUGGUAAACAUAUUGGCAAGAUUUACACCUACUGAUUGGCUAACAGCAUCACUGCAUCAGCUCCUAGAAAAUUUAAUGAGAAAAUUUGAGAAAGAAGAAAAAAGGACUCGGAAAUUGUACAGCCAUUCCACAAGUCCAUAUUUUCAUGUACAACGUUUUAUGUCCUUGUUCUCAAGCUAACCUAUACAAGACAUAUGCUAUCAGAAAAAAAAAAGUGAAAAGAACUAUUAUUCUCUUUCCCAUUUUGCAUUAUUUGCUUCUUAUAUGAAUCAAUUGCCAAGCUAUAUACAACACAAGGACUAAUUCUCAGUCCCAGUGGUUCCUAACCAAUUGCUAACUCCUAAUGUACAAGGCCGAAUUUCCUCAGAGAAAAUUUAGCUGAAGCCCACCAAAGACUAUUCGAAUACCAAUGAAGGAAACUGUUGCUUUCCACGCUUUCUUUUGUUGUUGAUGCAGAUUUGGAGUAACCAGACACUAAAAGCAAAAUCAUUGAAUGAAGGAAUUUGUGAAUGCAGCCAUGCGGGUCAAAUAUGCACUGUUGAGUUGCUUUCCAAGUGUUCUUUUACUGUUGAUGCAGACCUGGAGGUGCCAACCACUAAAAAAAUCCAUUGGCAACUGCAGGUACACCUAAUACCAACAUAAACGGCUAACGAUCAACUACUCUGGACCAAAAUAGCAGUCUUGUAUCGAUAACCGAUCAAAAGCAUCAAAAUUUGCCUUCAAACCAACAAACUGGCUUCCAAGCUGUGCACAUGGAGCAUCUGGCCAUCUGCACCCUUCUCUUGUGCGGAAGGGGCACAAUGACUCGCAAAAAUGGUCCCCCGGUGCUUCUGAGACCAGGCUGUCCUCAAUUGCAGAGAUUGAUACAGAGAAGCCACCAUUUUCGUCUUCUUGAUCCCUAACAUCUGUGCCUCUUCGCAAUGAACAUGACAGCACUUCAGUUCUAUCCUCCUGGUUUCCACUUGUCGAAAAUUUGAUUGUGCAUCCUAUAGAUUCUAUCGCCUUUUUAAUGGCAGCAUUCUCCCUUUGAGCACUUUGAGCUGUGGCUAAGGCUGUGUUACUUGCACGUUUCUCCCUCUGCAACUCUUGUUUUACAGAUUCCAUUUUCAUUUUGAUAUCUUUUGCUCUCAAUUCGGCGAUGUCCUUUGCCUGAUCAUUCCAUCAGAAAAUAAACAUCAGGGAUAGGAUAUCUGGGGCAUAUAACUAUAUAAGCCAUUUUUUAACUGAACAUCAUAAUACUUAAUUUCACAUCAAACCAUGAACUUAAUUUGUCCUUAGCUCUUGUUCCAAUAAUUUCACAUCAAACCAAACACAUGAUAUGACCUCACCUAUGUUGCAAUAAAACGGACAUAGAAUAAAAUAAAAGGCUAUAGAUAAUUACCUUCAUUGCUUCUGCAUAUUUUUUAGUCAUAGCAUGCCACUGGGAUUCAAGAUCACCACCUUGUGAUUCGAUGGGGCAUGUCCAUCUCAAAUAAAACUGGGGCCAAAGGGUUGGAGCAAGUGCUGCCGCAGGGGGCAAUAGUGCACCAUUAUGCUUUACUGGGUCAUAGAAUGGAUUGUAGUGCUCAUGGAAGCUGCCGCCAGAAGCUCUUAGAUCAGCCAAAUAUGACCACAUGCAACGACAAGAGUUCGUGACACCAGAUUGCUCCCUUUCCCGCUCACUUUCAUUUCAAAUCAGAAAUUAGCUAUGCCGAAUAUUAUACGAGAAACAUAAAUUAAGAAGUACAGGUGAAAAAAGGAAUCUAACACUAUUUUAUUACCAAGAUAUAUGCAAGUGUGGAACAAAAGAACAACAUGCUCUGGGGUUUUGGGAAUAGAACUCAGUAAAAGUUAAAUCUUGUGGAUUACACAAUUUGAGAAUGGACAUGAUAGCUUCUAACUAGGAUAUAACGCUACUGCUGGCCAAGUUAGCACGAGAAAUAGAAUAUGCUGCCUUUUUUCUCCUAAUCAAGUAAAGAACGCAGAUAUAUGCUGCAUGGUAUCAUGGAAAACAGUGAGCAACAUAGAAAUAAUUCAAAAUGUGAAUCAUGACUUGUUAUAGAGGAUUAAUAAAAAUAUAACUUUUAAUUCCAAAGGGCAUGUCAGGAACAAAAAGAAUAAGCUCAAAUCAGAAAACAGCCAAGAUGGGAAAUAUUUACCUGUUGCAUAAGAAGUUUCCAAAGCGGCAUGAUAAUACACAAUCCAUAAAAUCAACUAGGAAUUUCUGCAAAAACGAAUCAGUUUAAAGAUUAUGAAUGUUUAUGGAGACUUGUAGCCAACCCUUCUAAUUGUCAAAGAAAACGAAGACUUACAGAAGAGAACUGAAAUGCAGAUGGGUACAGACGUAGCAAUUGAGAGAUGCAGUCGAGCCACUGAAAAUGAUAUACCGUAUUACAAGUCAGAUCAAAAAAGUUCGCAUACUAAAGAAAAUAAUGGACGUAUCCAAAACAGGUAAAAAUGCAGGAAUAACAUAACAGAUAGACCAACUGUAGAAAAGAGGGUGUUCCAUGUUCAUAACGAAGCACUUCACUAAUUCCACUAAAAGGCUGGCACUAAUGUUCUUUUCUCAAUUGGUAAUUUUGUAGAAGACUAGUGUUUGACAUGCUGCUAAGUGCCAACUAACGUAGUUUCUAAAACAGAAACCUACUGAAGUGCAUGGUUUGAUCUGCAAUGCUGUACUAAAAGCUGAGAAGCAUUCAGCCAUGAACAAAUCCAUACAUCCAUACUGCAGAAGAGCAUAUCUUAAAGGCAGUAAAGUAAAAUAAGUUGUCAUCACUGAAUCAGAAGUUCAGAAUGACAAAUUGGCUAUCAACACGUCAGAAGAUAUCAGUUAUUCCUUGAGAUGCAAGGAUAACAAUUAUUGACAAAGUAAGAAGUAAAAGAUAAUAGAAAAGUGGAACAGCAUUGGCAAGCUACCUGUAACAAUAUUGGUGAAGAGUUGUUUGAUGUCUGGGAUUGAGCUGAAGCAUUGGAGGAUGGUCCUGAUGGCCCUAAUGCGUUCCUGCUUGGUGAACUGCUUAAAUUCCCAAGGGAAGGUUGCCUUAAUAGCUCAUACUGUGAACCCCCAUUCUCAGCUACUGUUGGAACUCCCAUCCUCUCUGCAAAUGGAUGACCAAAUGCUAACCAGUCCUUUUCCACAAGGGCCUAAAGCAGUGUGGAAGUGUGUUAUCAGUAAUAAGGAAGGGAGUAGUGCUGAUGCAUAAUUGAAGCAAAAAAAAAAAUCAGAUAGCAGUUAUCAAGUAUUGAGCACUACCAAACAGGAAUGUUUAAAUAAUUUCAAGGCAGAUUUAUACACUAUGAAAUACAAGCAUAUCAACACAAGCAGCAAAAUGGGGAAAUAAACCAUGGUUUUUGUUCCUUUUCCAUUUUGGUGGAAAAAAGAAAAUAAUUGAAUCACCAUAUUUGGAUGAAACACUCCAAACAAGACUAAAAGUUACCAUCGAAGGAUAAAUGAGAGAAUAGCUAUUUUGCCACCAUGGGUUUACAGAAAUCUAUUUACAGUUGGUACCUGGAAUCCACUGAAAGUUCGAUAAUAGGGAUCAAGCAAUAAGCAAGAAAGUGCAACCAACUGGGUUGUACGGUCCCAUCCAUCACUGCAGAAAUAAAGUAGCAAAAAGAAAUGCAAUCAAUUAGAUGCUACAAAGACAAAGGAACAAAGCUAUAGAGAUCACACAGGAUCCUAAGAUGACAUUCAAAGCUUCAUUCAUUCAAAAAUACACUGAGAGGAUUGACAAGGGAAACUGCUGGUUACAGGCGCAUCCUAGUUAAAAAAGGACAGAAUUUGAAUUAAAAAGCUAAUAAACUUUAGCAGGGUGAUAUGUGUUAGAUGUAUAUACAUCCUAGUGUAUUUUCUCACUAGUGUAGGGUGCUAUUUGCACUUUGUACAGAACCAUAUCUGGCCCUUGUGGGCAUGGUAAUACACUUGAGUUCCUAUUCAUAACAAUAUGAUGAAUCACCAGGGUCUUUUAAUUCCCAGGGGCCUUUUUUUUAACUUGGCAUAAACUUACAGCCAGCUUGCAAAAAGGCAGGUGAUUUUUCAUACAAUAACCAUACCAACUGUUUGGUCAUACAUCGGUCUCCAUAGAGGUAGAGCUAUGGCUUAUGUCAUCUACACCAAACAAAAAGUCCAAGCACAAGGGUGAAUUGUUGGCUCCUUGACUAAACAAUUAAAGGUAGAUAUCCCCAAAAUUUUUCAGUGAAGGUUUCUCUUCUCUUCAUGGCAUAUCCAAAAGGCAAAAGAUUUUAAAAAAAAAAGUCAUGACAAAUACACACAAAUGCCAGUAUUACAGCUAACUUCAUAGUUUGUCAAACAUGCAGUUAGACGGGAUUUCAGUACACUAGUAAGUAAUAACCAAGGAAGUGCAGUGGCCACAUGAUGCAGAUUUUAGGGAUAACCCUGUUAUAGAUCAAUAAAUAAUUUAUGAGGGUUCCAAACGCUUAGUUAAACAGCUGUUAUAGAUCAAUAAACCUAAUCCCUAGGAAUCUCACCUAAGCCCACACUGAUAUGGGUUUGCAAUAGAUACUCAAAUGUCACAUUGCAUGCGUGCCAGGUCAACACAAGCAAGGAACAACAAAUCAUCAUGGUAAUUUCCUCACAUUAAAUACGUUAAUGCAAGUUAGAGAUGCUGAGGGAUUAAAAACCUGCAAUGGACAAGAACUGUUGCUGCUUCUUCCGCAAUUUGUGCAGCAAUCCACGAAGCACCAACCAGAAUAUUUUGGAUGUGGUUUAGCCAUUCCCCUAGCGUUGAAGAAAAUGAUGUCAUGCUAUUUAGAUUGCCUCCACCCCACGUUGAUCCACGAUUCCUCUGCCAGAAAAUAAUUAAAAAAAACUCAGCAUGUCGUGUGUGUUUUGUACUUGAUGAGCUUGCAGAUAAUUCAGCAAAAUAGUCAAGCCCUUGAUAUCUGUCAAGCUGUAGUUUCAACUUUUAAGCAAAAGUAUAGAUUGUCUAACUCGUUUGGGACAGAUUACAACAGAUAAAAGAUGCAACAGCAGCUAGCCUGGUGCUAGGUUACUAGCUUGCAACAGCUGUUCCAUAGCAUUUCAGAAAUAUCCAUGCAGAGCUAUGGGCAUGUACAGGCAUGACACCACAUUCCCAAACAAAGUUCUUGUAUGCAUUACAGGAACAGAUGACAACCUCAAAAGGGCGUACUACAUCAGCAAGGCAAACCAUCAACUUACCCGAUCUCCAACAACAGAUACAGCUGAAGGGGUUCCAUUUGACGAAAUUGAGCCAUGAGCAUCCACAUAGUCCCUAAGGCGAGAAAGACUAUCUCUCAUUGUGUGGAUGUUUUGUAUUCCUAGAAAAAGAACCUGGUCCCAGAUCCAGUGAAUUAAAGAGAAUAAAUAGUUUCUUCUCUUCACUGUUGAUGGAAGAAGAGAAAAAAAAAUAUGUAUAAUGCAAAGGUAUAGCUGCAAACUAGAUAACUAUCGCAUCUAACAUUACCUCAGAUCUGGGGUAGUUAGAAGAUGACUCUGAACCCCCUCCCUUUGCCCCAUUUGCUAAAGCAUUUGCUCUUGGCCGGGCAUCAAUUAUGUACAGUUUCCUGUUUUAGAGCAGAAGCAGAACACUAUUUAAGUUGUUCAUUAUGAAUAUAUCUCUAAAAAGGUCAAAGAGUAUAAGCAUAUUCAGAAAGUGCAUUAAAGAAAAAAAUGUCCCAAGAGUUAGUUGGUAUCUGCUCUUAUUACUUAACUGAUUCCCCUUUGUUAAAGACAAAAUUAGGUAAAAUGCACACAUCCUUUAGAUCAGUAUGUGCCUCAGUUCUAGUGCUUAGUGCCAUAAAAGAAAAAGGGCAAGAAAGCAAAAUCUAAAAGCUUAGUAUUAUCUUUCACAGAUUCUUGAAGUCCCUUUUUACACAGAAAACUAUGUAUCAAGAUAUAUAUAGAGUGAACGAGUUAUAGGGGAUAUAGUAAACUUAUAGGGUACAAUAUUUUAAUGGAUGUCAGUAGUAAGAGAAUAGAUAUAGCAUAACAUGCAUACUACGAUUACCUUGGAGAUCCUUUAUCACCAGUGGUUCUGCUGCUAAGAGCACAUACAAGCUUCUCAUCAGCAUUGCUGCAGAAAGUGUCCUAACAUUAGACCAAUGAAAUCAAAGAAUAGACAUCAUAUGUUCCAGACAAAUUAGAUAGAUAUAAACUCACUUCCUAAAGUUCAUCAUCAAUCCAACCAUUGGCUGAGAUGACCUCGCCAGAACAGCUCCAGACCCUGUGAUGUAAACAGGUUAAAUUUUUUUUCCUCAUGUCUGCCUCAAAAUUCCUUUUUAACCAUUAAAAACUACACACUUUACCCAAAAACGAGUGAUUAAAUAGAGGUUUGGUCAAGAACAUGAAAGGAUCCCUUUGAAUGUUCUUAAGAAAAUCCAUUUAACAAAAAAAACUCAAAUUUCUAAAUACGCUUGAAUAAUAUACUAAUACCAAUCAUCCUUUUUACACAAACCCUACAAAAAUCCAACUUACUCAUUCAAGCUGGAAAUAAGUUGAUCAAGCACCAGGAUUUUUAAGUUCAAAGUAGCUAUUUUGGGGGUUGCUAUCUGUUUAAACCAAAAGAAUCCCAGGAAUAGUUGCACGGAUAUGAUUGCAAGCUACACUACAACAAAAACACUAAUAGUGGUGACUGUGGUGGUGCUUGCAAGAAAGUAAUGCUACCAUCAGGCACAGAUAUAUGUCAUUCUAGAAAUAGAAGAACUGAGGAACCAUGCAGUUUUGAAACAUUACAUAUUGAGAUCUUUCCAAAUAUUUAUAAGUGUGUUUUUAAUUUCGUAAAGUAAGUAUAGAUUCGCCUCGAAAAGUAAUUUUGUAAUAUUAUAGGUUUACAAUAUUGAUGGGUUUUAAUAUAUUAUGGUGGAAAUGAAGGAUCCAAGUAACAUUUGGAGAUCAUGUCGAUGUUCAAAACAAUAUGUUUUUGUGGCCCAAGGGAAUAAUUAUCAACAAUAACAGACAGUAUUUCUCAAUGGCGAAGUUGCUGACUUUCCGACAAACAUGACACAUGCAUGAGAAUUAUCGGCCCUCUACAGGUCUAUUGAAGUAGGGACCUUAAGAUAACAGAGAGGAAAAGAUUUAUCCGCUAAGGACGAUUUUUUUUAAAAAAAACAAAACUUGAGUAUACGUACCAGGGUCGCACCAUGAAAUAACAGGCAAGCGUUUGCCUGAUCGAAAAGUAGAAGCUUGAAAUAAAUCUUCAUCACUAAAGGACAGUAGACAAAUGGUAGUAUCAGUGAUUUAUAAGUGUGUUUUAAGAGAAUAAAACUACCACAUGUUAUUAUCAAGGGCAUGAAAUACCUUAUGCUCCUUGGUACAAUCAGUUCAGUGGGGUAAGUUGAACACAAUGAAUAACUAGAAUUAACUCUAGUUAGCCUCCACCAAUCGUUAGACAAAGAAACUUCCUCAGCUCCCCGUAACUGCGGUAAACUUUUCCUAAAAAGACGGAAGUAUUCUCUCAAGAGCCGCCACUUUGGCUCAGAAUCAUUCUUAAUGGUGGAUGGAUCACAAGAAAAUGCAUAUAGGUCCCACAAAUUAGCAGGUUUAGUGUAUCUCCUCAAAGCAUCAAACACUUCGUUUUUCUGAAAAGACAAGCAUCAAAAGUAAACCACAAAAGAUUCAGAAUGUGUGGCAAAAUAAUAUGCUCAAAGAAACUACAAUUACGUAUACAAUCAAAUCAAAAUACCUGCUUUGUUUUGGGAACAAAAGCAAACACAAUGAUUCUCAUGUCUUUGCCUGAACAAAGGACAAAAAUCAGUACAAGUUCUUUUAGCAAAUGUCGUAAAAUAGUAAUAGUUAAUUAUCAUUAGAAAGAAAAAAUCUGUAGAUUCAUGAACAAGAAUAGAAACAAAUUAAUUGCAAAUAUUUAUAUUAUAAUGAAAAGCACUACACAAACUUUAAAAACAUUGUAAAUACAAUGUUAAACAUUAUCAUAAGGAGAAAAACUUGUAGAUCUGUCAAAAUAUAAGUAAGUAAACUAAUUGUAAUCAUCAUACUUGAAAAGUGUUUCAAGAGAAAAGUUGAAGCUUCUUGCCUCUACCUUUCUAAUCCAAAUCUUCUGGCCAAAAAGGUUUGAUGGGUGCCAUUACAAUAUUAUCUCGAGAGACAACAUUCCAUUUUUCACAAAAAAUCUUGAAUUAAUGACGAGGUAGGGUUGCAGUUGGACAUAUAACUAUGCUCAAAGGUGACUCAGUACAGAAUACAAACUUACCGAUGACUUGAAGAAGUUCACGGGGCCGGCUCUUAUCAGAGAGGUGGGGUAGGGGUUGGAGCUUCACAUCCUGCAAAAGAACUGGUUUAGUCAAUAAUUUAUAAGUUUGCAUGCGUUGUGGUAGCACAAUUUACAUAACUAUAAUCCUGGGCUGAUAAUGUGAACAUGGGAAGAAUAAAGAGGCCAUACACAGAUUACUUAUAGACUUACAUCAUUUAGCUUCUCAAUUGUUGUCAGCGGAAUGGUACCCAGCUCUAUGACACAUUUUUUUGCUUGGCUCUGCAAAAUGGUCACAUGAUUAAACAAGAAAGAGGGAAGUUGGACAGCAUCUCUGACUGCAUGAUCAGGAUGACCAAUUGAAAAUAUUUAAAAAAAAGGAAGAUGUGAUCAACGAACAGAGCUGGUCCGAAAAAAGCCAGAAGAAAAAUUAUCUCUGGAAAUCAAUAUUGCAGGCAUAGUGAUAUUGUAUCGAAGUGCAGGAGACAUCAAAUCACAUGAAACUAUUAUAAUCGUCAUGAUAUGAUUGCUUACCACAAAGAGAAGUCGGAAAUUUGUCACUGAAAGUGUACCAGCCUCACGGAUGUUUAGCAGAACAACUCCAUGGCCCUAAGUAAGGAAAGGUGAGAGGAAUCAAAUUCAAGAUGGACAUAUCCAAGUAAAAGGGCAGCGAAAUCAAUCGGCACAAGGUUGAGGUUUAUGUCAGGAAAUAAAUACGCCAUCUUUUUUAUGAACUUGAGGUAAGUCACAGAUUUCUUUUAAGGAGAAAAAAGUAACUUGGUUACCCCCAAACUCAGUAUGACAUGGCACGCUAUCAUGACUAUGCGGUUACAUUAAGAUGUCCCGUAUUCUGGGUGUUGAAAAGUAGGCAAAUACAGCGAGCAUGCUGCACCUACUAUCACUGUAAACAUGGUAUAUGACAAGCUUUUGCAACACACCAUUAAUACUGAUUUCAAGUAUAUACCAGAAAGAAAUUCUCAAGGAUGGUGUAUUCACCAAAAAAAAA
rnacentral:lncRNA from 1 species